rnacentral:lncRNA from 1 species
AAUUUUUUUUUAUUCUAAAGUCUUUAAUACUCUUCUCAUAUUAAUAAUUAGCAGACAUUGUAAAUUUUCAUUAAACAUUUUAUUCUAACAUUUUUCCUCGAAAACGACAAUGGCAAGAUAAUUUGACCUAUCUUGACUGACUGAAUUUGGAUAACUUGUGUUCCACUCUCUCUUCUGCGUCAUUGUGCUAACGUUGCAAGGGAUUCGUCACGCCCACAGUUCUCAAAUUAAAGUUACAUUACAUUUACAUACGUUAAAGACUUUAUAUGAAUAUUCUCCAUCGUCUUUAUUGACCUUUUUUUUAUCUUUUUAUUUUUCCUUGCGUCGAAAGAAUCCUUCACUGAUUGGAAUAUCCAUGAGGACUGGUUGCAAUUGGAAGAGUUCCUGAAAUUCAUCUUUCAUUCGAUCUUAAAUACUUUCUCCGAACAAUUAGAAUACAUUAAGAUUUUAUGAACUUGCUUAGUAGAUCAUUCAACUACUUAAUUGGUGCUAUUAAUUAAUUGAUUAUCUUCCCAGAAACACAUUAAAGACUCUCACCGGGAUUCAUUAAAUCUUUUUGCUGGGUCAAUUCUACCAGCUUUAGACGUAAAAGCUUCGUGAUAAGAGCACAAGCAUAUCGUCUUCAAAAGCUCCUUAAAAAAGCUAGCCAUUUUCUUUAUUGUCAUUUCCAUCCAUUUUAACCCCCUCUUUUUCAUUUUGUACAACUUUGACUUGACUCUGAAAUAGAGAAAUUUAAUAGAAUGUUUAGAAAUAAAAUAAAAUUAGCGUGGAUUUAUCUUGCACUAGUUUUACUCUAUUGAUGUCAAUGAUGUUUUAGGGGGGCAAAAAACUUCAUUAAUUUUACCUUUGUUUGAUGAUGAGGUAAAAUAUGAUUUUUUUUUUUAACUUUUAAAAGAUUUUUUCAAAUGAUUUUCAAGUUGAUUUAUUUGGUUGGACUGUAAAAUAGGUUUGGGCUUAGCCCACCCCUAAUUCCUUUUCUUUUUCUUUUUUUUUCAGUUUACCAUAAAAAGAAUAGGUGUGUUGCAAGUGAGAUAUGGAUAAAGAAUAUAACUAUUUCUUCGUUGGAAAUUUGAAUAAAGAGAUAGAAAAAUUGGUAAACGAGUAAGAACUAAUUUACGGGAAGGAUAAGUGGAUAAGAUUAGUGCUGGAGCCGUCAUGGAUUCAUUGCUAUGCAGAAUUAAAAAUUCAAGCUUAAACGGUUUUGGUGAAGUUUCUAUAUUGAAAUUCAUGUUAAUUAAUCAUUCAUACUUUAAUGAAAGUAUUAAUAGCAGCCGUGUAACUCACAUACACGUGCUUGCAUGCAUGCGUGUGCGCGUGUGCCAAGAGACGAACAAAUAUAUGAUGAAUAGAGAUUUCGGGACCUAUAGACUUCAAAUUAAUGGUGAAACAUCUUUGCAAAUUAAACUGAGAAAAAUUGAAAAGUAUGUUUAUCAUUUUAUGCACGGAAUUCCAUGUCCAUGCAUGCAUCUACCCAACAAAUGCACUUGUAAUUAAGUAUGCAUAUGGUACAUCACUAAAUGUUGUCUUGGAAAAGUCUCCAUUGAUAUAACUCAUGACAUGUCAUUGUACGUACACGCACAACGAAUAGUCAAUAAUGUCCCUGUAGUUUACGUACCCAUGGAGGAGUCAAUAUAUUUUUAGAAAUUUACUCAAAAAAAUCUACAUUAUAUAUAUUUUUUUUCUAUUUUUUAAUUAUUUUCUAUCUUUCACCUGCUAUAUGUUAAAUAAGUUUGAAUUUUAAACUUUAUCAUAUAGAAUUUAGCUUUGAAAAUUUAUGUCCAACAACUAAUUAAGAAAGUAAGUAAAGAGAUGCUUAAUUUAGAUAAUCUUUUAAAAUAUAAUAUUGACCAAACUUGAUAAUUGACUCAAACUAUGGGGAUUAAAACCAUAUUUACCUAUUUAACAAAUUUUAAAAUUAUUUUUGUUUGAGGAAAUACCUCGACGAGACCAGGCGUGAUGAGCAGAUGCUUGAUGGCAGAGUUCUGCGAACAGGUGAGUCCUGUAAGAGCCAGGUAGCAGGGGAACAAGAGCAGAAAUACUCUGCUCGUCCACGAAUAUGACAUUUAUGGGGUGAAACUCCUGGUAGAGGCAUGAGGCCAUUCCUGCUAGAGGUUGAAAGGCGAGGAGACCCGGUCAGCGACAGUUGGCAAGACGUGUAUUCCAAUCCGAGAAUCAAGGCACGAAGUCCAUUCUCAUUCGCCCACAACGGCGAUAAUGGGGCGUCCACACCCGAGAGUGCAGAGAAUAAUGGACGUGGACUACGGAAGACGGCGGUUGAGAGGAAACCUAUAAAAAGGUAGCCAACGAAGGUAAAAGGGUUAGCAAUUUUGAUAUUAUAAGAGAGAUAAAGAGAAUUCCUAAGAAUAGAAACUAGAGAAAAGCCAUAAGAUUUGUGGCAAACGUUCCCAGAACCUUCACAUCUGACUUGGGCGUCGGAGGGUUUUCGCCGGGAAAACAACCGGCGUGCUCUGACUUGUUUCUGUGGACGCAGGCAUACUUGGAGAAGAAAGCAUACGAGGAGAGAUUUUGAUCGAGGUGAGGUUGAUCGAGCAGAUAUCCUGGUCGUGAGGAGAGCGUAACCAGAAUCUUGCAUCAAUAAUUUUUAAAAAAGAUGUAGAUUUAUUUCUUUCUUUAUUGAUAAAAUUAUGAAAUAAUGAAGUAAUAUUCAUAUUGUGCUGAGAACAACUUCUUGGUUUAGCGAUGGUCUUACAUGUUGAGGGUUUGAAUCUUUUAUGCAUAUACGGUGUUAAUAGUAAUUAAAAGGGAGUGUGUAUACCACACGCCGGAGACCAAAAAGUGAUUUGUCAAAUCCUCGAACUGAAUGACGAGCCAAAAGUGGAUUUGAAUGACUUUUUCUAUUUUCUACAUACUCCGCAUCAGUCGUUGUGACGACGUAAUUACGAAAACAACUCGAAGCUGGCCAAAGACGACGGGCAAGCUGAGAACAUAUUCGUAGGCAUUUUCCCUUCAUUUACACCAAAUAAUCUAAAAUGUUAUUUUGAUUAUUACUUUUUUCCAGCAUUUUUAUCAACUUGAAUUACAUUUUUUCCAGCAUUUUUUGGUCGAACGAACCAUUUUACUUGGAAUCAUAAUGAGUCGUUGCAAGGAAAAUGUUAUUUUGAUUAUUACUUUGUUUAUUAUUCUUGUUUGCGGUAUUUUCAUUUGAGAGAGAUACAAGUCUCAAAGGAAUGUCGGAUUCUGUGCUCACAUGAUGAGCUAUAUAAUAUAUGUUGGUUUUACUUAAGGUUGUUGUAAUUAGUAGUUUUUUUUUUAAAAUAAAAUAAUACUAGCACAACUCUAAUAAACAAUGGAUAAUAAAGAUAGGCUUAAUUAUAAAAAAAGUCUAUACUUUUUUGUAAUAAAUAAAUAAUAUUAUUAUGCGGGGACAAAUUCUUUUUAGACAAGACUUAAAAAAAUUAUAACUUAUUAUAAUUUAGAGUAUAUCCUUAUUUAUAACUAACUUAAAUUGAGAUUAAAUCUUUUUUAUAAUUAAAUAAAAAUUAUUUCUAUAUAAAGUAUGACUACAUAGGAGAAAUAUUUUAUUUCUAUAUAAAGUAUAUAUGACUAUAUAGGAGAAAUAUUUUAUUGUAUAUAGCUAUUUCUUUCUCUGUUAUUUCUAUCCACUUCAUGAGCACUGUCUUAGUCAUUUCCCUCUUCUGUAACAAUCUUGGUUUAACUAUGAACUAAAUGUUUUUCUUUUCAAUCAUUAAUUAAUAUUAGGUAGGUGCAUCUACCAACACGGUUGCAACUAAUUACCCACUAUAAAAUUUUAUUCUCAAUCCUGGUGGAAAAGUGUGCAUGCCUAUAUAUAAUCGAACUUCAUUAUCAGUGUUAUGGAUAAAGGAAUUAUUAAUUUUAAAUUAAUAAUUAUUUUAAUCAAUUUGGCAAUAUAUAUCUUAUCCUUGAUUAAUUUAUAUGAAUGAAUAUCAAGUGUAACGUAAAAUAUUAUUUGUGUUGCACAUGACAUGCGGACAAAAGAAUACAACGAUUCCUUAAACAAGAUUCAAAGUAUGAUAUAGAAAAGAAUUUAAAAUUAAAAAAAAAAGUAAAAUAGAAAGUUGAAUUUAACAAGAUUCAUGUACAGGAAGAAAAGGAAAUAAUAAAGUGAUGAAAAAUUGGUAAUCGUGGCAAGUAAUCUUAUUCAUGUACGCGGCGGCACGACCCAAGACCUGGAAAUUAAAUAGUGAAACUUCUUUGCGAAUCAAAUAAACUACAAAUUUAUGGAGAGUCUUGACGAGUGUUUUAUCAUUUUAUGCAUGGAAUUCCACGUGCAUGCAUGCAUGUUCUCCACGCUUGGAAAUUUUGGAAAUGGCUUCUCCCUUUAAUCUUUGAAAAUGUCCUCUAACAAGUGUCUCAAUUAUUGGAUAACAUGUGCAGUCCACCCCAUUGGGCAUCUUGAUUACGUUUGUAUGCUUAUGUUAUAAGGGCUUCGUCAAGAAGCUCAUUGCCAUUAUUACGAAAUUAAAUAGACUAAGAUUGUUGACCUAAUUUGAAAAUUCCUCCAUUGUUUAUUAUUUUUCCCUUUUUAAUUUAUCAACAUCAGCCAUAGUAAGUCAUUCUUUAAAUCAAAACCCUUGUGGAAGACGAAAUAUAUAUUAACUUACUGUCUUUUCUCAACAACUUUUAGGUGAGAUUAGUUUAAUAAAUUACAUGAUAAAUAAGGGUCCAGCUACGUUGCCUCUGGGGUUUGGUACCCCAUUUUUUGUCUUUUUCAAAUUCACGGUUGGAUACAACGCAAGACUUGCAUAAUGGCUUAGAUGUGAUUUUAGGCUAUUAACAUUAAAGACCCCUCUUGUUCAUGCAAAAUAAGAAAAAUCAAAAGUUUUAUAAUUAUGACAUAAAAGUCCAUAAUAUAUAUAUAUAUAUAUAUUACACUAUUAAACUAGAUUUCUAAUUAAAUGACUUAUUCUUACCUGUAUUAAUAUCUAUUUAAAUUAAUAAAUUUACUUAUUAAUUAACAAAUUAACUAGUUUAUUAUAUAGUUAAACUAUGUAUAUUAUUUAUGAACCAUAAUUAAUGAUAAAUAUAAUUUUUUUUAAUUUAACAUAACGGCAACCAAUUUCCUCUCACCCAUGUGACCAAGGUUCAAACCCCAUAAUCUUUUUUAUUCCAACACGAGAUUUUACUAUCUCAAGUAAAUAUAAUGUACAAAAUAUAAAAAUAAAUUUAAUUUGACAUUCUAUAUAGUUAAUUUUUUUUUUGGAAACAUAAGAUUUAUUUAACAUAUUAUCAAUUAUUUAAUUAUGCAGUAAAAAUAUGUUAAUUUACUAAUAAUAAUAAAGUGUUAGUUUAUAAAUUUGCAAAAUAAUUUUUGUUUGUUUGAACAAUGAGUUUGUAUUUUUGGUUGAGUUUUUGUCCUUAAAUAAAAGAAUAAAGUUAAUUACACACUUAAAUAAAUUAAUAUUUGUUACUCCACCCCAACAGUUUAAAUAGUUAUUAGCACAUGUCCAUAUGGUUGAGAUCUUUCAUUAACUUAACUAAGAGAAGGGUAAAAAAAUUCUAAACAAUUACUCUAUUUGAAAAAAUUUAAAUAUUUCCUUAGUUUUCUUUUAUUUAAAACAAUUUUAAUAAUUCAAAAAAAAAUUCUUUUAAUUUACUAGUGUUUGUAUGUAUAAAGAGAAUAAGUGCUUGAAUUCUAAACAAAUCAUGGCUUUUAGAAGCAUUAAUGCAAUUAAAAAUAUAUUUAGGUGUAGGAUUAAUGUGUGAAAAUUUAAAAUUUUUUGUGUUUUUGUUUUUAUAACCAAUAACAGGACUUCAUUGUAAUUAACCUUAAAAAAGACAAAAGAAAGGGGUAUCAAACCCAUGUUGCAACGUAGUUUUGCCCGAUAAAUAAUACUCUUAUUGAGUCUAUAUAUAUAUAAUUAUAUAUGAUAUAAAAUUAAGAUUCUUUUUUUUUGUCGUAAUACAUAGAAUUGUUCGUACUAUUAUUAUAACAAAAUAAUUAAAAUUUAUGAGUUGAAGUUGUCAGAAAAAUAAACUUAUUUCCAAUGAAUGGCGUUUGGAGGAACAAAAUAAAUCCGGAACUUUUUUACGCGGAAAAAAAAUCAAUUAACAUUAAUGACGUCCAAAUGUCCAAAUAUAAUGAGAAAUUGAAUUCUUCAAUACCUUGCUGUUUCUUCAUAUUUCUUUAUAAAUUUACCGAUUCUUUACUCUAAAUUCUAGUAUUUGUCUUCGUAGAAUGUAAACUUAUUCCCUAAGAUAUGGUUAAAAAAAAAAAUAAUAAAAUCUAAUCAUUUGGUAGUGCGCAAACUAAUAUCAUAGCUAAAAUGAAGUUGGUAAAUUAUCUAUUAUUAAUAAUUAGGUGGGCCUAAACGUUCCAACUUCCAAAUACAGUAAAACAAUCCAUCAUCUACAUUAUUCUAUAUUUUGGAGAGAAAAAGGAAAAGGCAAAAUCUUUUAGAUAAGAAAAAAAAAAUUUUUUCCUCAUGAAAAAGCAAUUGAAUUAAAAAGUAGAAAUUUCUUUACAUUCUCGCCGGAGAAACAGAGUCAAAUUCAAAUACGACGACUCAAGCGCAAAAAGCCUAUAAAUAAAGCCCGGCUCCUGUUCCCUGUCAGAGGCUACGGAUUUGAGAGAUUAAAGAACAUCAACCGAACAGUGAGACUCCGUACUCUUCACACAAACUUGCAAAAACUUUUAGGUAAUUUUUUUCGAUUAAUUUUUUAAUUUUCGAGAAUAAAGAGAGAAAAAAAACAGAUGGGAUUAUGUUUGUCUGGGAGUGAUGUGAGGGGAGGGAAACAAGCCGUAGGUGGGGCCCACCUCCGGCCCACCAGCGCGGCUGAUCACAACAAUGUCUCUGGUCAAAAUGACGCCGUUGAUUUCUUCUUCAAAUCUCGCGGCCUUCAUGCCCUUUUCACCCAAAUCGAGGUAUAUGUGUGUACCUGAAUUAUAUGAGUCUUUCACUGCCACUAUUAAUAAACUAUUUUCAGUUAAUUAAUUAAUUAAUUAAAAAUCUAUGAUUAGUUUAUGUUUUUUAAUUUAUUUUUAAUUUUUUAAAUCUGAUUUCGUUCAUGUUGGUAAUUGUGAUGGAUUCUAAAACGGUCACUCGUUUGAAAAUCUAUUCUCAAAUUAUGUUUGUUAUUAUUACUUAUUUGAUGACUUUUCAGUGUAACAUCGAACAACUUAAAUCAUCUAUAUUUGAUAAAAGUUAUUUGAUAAUUCGAACAUAAUUAGAGAGUAGAUUCCUAUUCAAGAAUCAACCGCAAUCCCAAACAUGCCUUUUUUUUGAAUUUGUUCUGGUGGCUGAUCUUUUGCUAGUGUUGGUUCGACGGUUUCACACCAAGCAACUGCUUUUGUUUUGCAUAUGGAGAACAGUAAGUUUAACUGCUUAUACCCAAUGACAACAUUCUGUGAAGUGAAUUUUAGAUUAAGAUUGGUUAAGGUAAAUAAAAAAAGAAUGGUGUUGAAUGCACAGUGGCCUUGUGAACAUUGAAAAAGUCGAUGUUUGAUCCUGUUGAAUGCACAGUGGUUUUCCUGUGUAUCCUCAAAGUUGACUAUUCUGUUAUGCCUCAUUUAUCAAAUUUGACUCAUACCCCUCGUGAUCAAAUUUGACUUAUACCCCUCGUGAAGAUUCCCCAUGAUAAUGCUCCCCUGAUUGGAACAUGAUUUUGUGAAUGCUGGUUUGCAUAAGACAAACCAUUAACUUUAUAAAAGAUUGUGGAUUAAGGAUUUUGUUGUUACGAGGAUAAGAAUGUCUUUCCAUAACGUAGACCACCAAGUGAUUGUAAUAUUCCUGUAUUGAUGUGGACCUUACCUGAGGAUCUCCUUGGAAACUUUCCUGGAGAAAAGGCAACAAGUCAUAUGAUAACAAAUUAAAUGUGGUUCAAUGCUUGUAAUUGACGUGUCACAUCCUGUUGUUAUAUAAAACUUAAUUACAUAUAUUAUUGCUUGCUGCUUAUAAGAUUUAAUAUUAGAAGUGAUUCUGUCAGAAUCCGAAAUGAUGGUUUUCUGCAUGUUCUGUUUAUGAAAGAUAUAUAUUGCCUGUCAGUUGACCCACAUCGUACUGACAAUUUUCAUUUCGUGCAGCAUAUGCAUGGAUUACUCCUUUUCCGCUUUUUCAUGUAUCUGUAUUCGUUCUUAUGUUUUUGAAUAUAUAUUGCAGUUAUCUUUAUCUGCUUCAAAGUUACGUGAUCUUGACAUCGCAUCAAAGGUAAGCCUUCAUAUUAUUGUUGUCUUAUGUCUAAUAAUGCCAUGUUCAUGCUGUUGAUAGUCUUGGUGAUUGAUUCUCAUGUUAUCUUGUAUCCUCCUUAUAUGAUCUGCUUAUUUGUUCAUAAUGGCCCUGUCAAUAUCCUUUCUCUGUUCAUGAAGGGUCUAGGGAUAUAUGAUCUGAAUAACGCUUAGCGCUGACACCAAAAUUCUAAACUUAGACAAAGAAGAAUAGUUUGUUAUAUACACUGUCUAUCUCCAAUGUAAUCCAGUAAGGAGCAGUAACUUGAGAGUUCCAGAUAAUGUAUAACAACUCACGGUUGGUGGUUUUAUUGUUUUUGCAAUUUUGUGCACUAGUCAAAUAUGUUAUAUGUGCAAGAUAAAAUUCUUUGAUAAUGAACAUUUAUCAGCGGUAUAUCUUUUUACUAGCUGAUACUAGCAUACAUCAAAUGCUGCUGUAUUUUAAUGAUGGAUUACUAACUAUAGUUAUUUAACUAAUAUAUGUCUAUAUUUAUACUCACAAGCAAAUGCAUUGACAUGUCUUUUUGUGUCAUAGAGUGAUCCCAUGGCAGUUGCGCAUGCAAAGAAAAGAGAUGGGAGGCUGAAGGAGAUUGGACGUACAGAGGUGAUUAUGAACAAUCUGAUUCCUGCUUGGAUUGGAAAGAUUGCAAUUGCUUUUCAGUUUGAGAUCGUCCAGCCCUUGCUGUAAGUUUUUACUGUGUUCUUUUUAAAGUCUGUUUUUUUUCCCCCUUGAUAGGUCAUUUGCUUAUCAUUUCUCAUAAGCCUUGCUUGAUUUGAUAAUAUUUAAUGUUUUCGAAUUCCUUAAUGCUUUUCUUCUUUUUCCAGCUUUCGUGUGUAUGAUGUGGAUACCAAGUACCACAAUAUUCCAGUGAAGGUAUAUAAAAAUUUCUUGAUUUUUUUUUUUUUCGCUCAAUUCAGAUGUAAAUGAUAUGCACUACUUCAGUUCCAAAGUUUAGAGUUAGCCAAGGCAUUUGACUGAUCCAUUUGUUGUCUAAGCAUACGUCUCAACUAAAUUGCAUCAGCAAUAGUUUCUAUCAAUUUCGGGAAAUUUGUGAAUACUUGAUUGAUUAUAAACUAACACUUAGCAUGGCAAGAAACUUAAAAAGUUGGCUGUCAUAUAUCAUGAACAAAUCUUAAGGCCAGGAUAGUUAUUAUGGAACUUUCUAUUAUUGCAUCUUGCAAGGUUUGACAUAUUUGUCCUGCUACCAUAACUGGGAAAGAACAAUUUUUCUGAUGGUCCUUACGGCUAAAUUUUCUUUUUUCCAAAAUGGAAUUUUGAUCUAUGUUGUUAAAAACAAUACAGUUAAAUAGUUGUUGCCAUGACCUAAAGAAGUUUCUGUAAAAAAUGACCAUAUUGUAAGUAUUGGAAUGGAUAAGUAAAUCUUUAGAGCCUAUGAUGUAUUCGUCUGUGGAAUUUGUGUCAAAGUGAAAAAAUUUUGAUGGUUAUAAUCCUAGAAACUGUAAUCAUUUGGAAGCAUUUGCUGAAAAAGUUAGAUAAUCUAAAAAUGUGAUGAUUAUUUAUGUCAAUUGUAAAUGGUAUUAACGUUAAUGGGAAAAAUGAUAAAUAUGUAAAUUUAUGCUAGUGGAAAGAGAAAAUGAACAAAUCCAGAUGGAUUCUAAGACAUUAAGUAGGGAAUCUAGUGUUCUUUUGAUUCUUUGCUGCAGUGAUCCCUAAUUACUUUCAAGACAUUAUUAUCUCAUGACAAAAUAGUUGUUGAAGCGUGAAGUUUAAAGUUCAAACUUCUUAUUUACAUUGCCCUGCAGAUGCUAAAGUUGGAGGAUCAAGACUUCCUGGGAGAAGCUAGCUGUGUUCUCUCUGAGGUAAGUUUCUGGGUUAUAUUUUGUUUGAUGAAUUUAUGUAUUUUCUCUUUAUUCAAUGGGCAAAAUAUGCCCAUCUAAUUUUUUGUAAAAAUCUGUUUCCUAUAAAAAAAAGGGCAAAAUAUUCUCAGAUGCUUUUUACUAGCAUUCGUCUUCUUCUUUAGCAUUCUUGUUUUUCACUAACAAUUGUCAUAUUUUCCUUUGAAAUGGCAGAUAGUGACCAAACAAAAUCGAACUUUAACCUUAAAACUCCAUAACAAUUACGGGCCUCAAGUUUCAAGAAACUUUGGGACACUCUCUGUCCAUGCUGAGGAAACAGUUGCUUCCAAGAGUGCUGUUGAAAUAGCAUUCCGUUGCUCGCAUUUGCAAAAUGUAGACCUGUUUUCCAAAAGUGUAAGUUCUGACAAAGUAGCUAAGUUUGGAGGUUCACUAAUUAAUCUAUUAAUGUAGAUGCUCAUUCUUCUUCUUCUUAUAUUCUAUAGGAUCCAUUCUUAAGAAUAUCUAGAAUUGUUGAGAGUGGAAAUUCUAUUCCUAUCUACAAGACGGAGGUGAUAAACAAUAACUUGAAUCCCAUUUGGAGACCAAUAACUUUGAGCAUGCAGCAAUUUGUGAGCAAGGUAACCUUAUCAUCUUCUUGUGCUUGUUACUUAAAUGUAUAUUAGGUAGUGAAGUUUGGUCAUGGGGAAAUGUUUUUUAGUAUAUGAUUUUCUUUGGUACAGGAAAACCCAUUAAUCAUUGAAUGUUUUGAUUUCAAUACCAGUGGAAAUCACAUAUUGAUGGGGUAACUGUUAAAUUUCUUAAUGUCAUUAGCUUCCCUCUUUUAUCCUUUUGCCUUUCUGAUGUCAAGGUUUUCUAUUUCUGUUAUUAGUAAAAUUCAGAAAUCAGUUGGAGACCUGGAGAAACUUCAUCAAGAAAGAACUGGUGCAACUUUUAUGUUACCAUCAACUCAAUGUGGCCAUGACAAGGUGUUUAUUCUUUUUUGUUUUAACUCCACCAAAGGUGUUGGUUCAUGCUUACGGUUUUUGAUAAUUUAAUAUCACUUUAUUUUUUAUCUGACUUUUUCCUAGGUUCGAAAAGUCAGUUGUUUGUUGAAAAGUUUGUUGAGAAAGAGCAAUAUAGUUUUCUGGAUUACAUAUCUAGUGGCUUUGAGUUGAAUUUUAUGGUUGCAGUCGACUUUACAGGUAAUUAGAAAGAGAUUGCUUGUUGAAGAUAAAUAUGCAAUAUAAUCGUUUUGUUUUGUUUAUUUCCUCUUAUUUGGUCCAACUUCAUCUUGCCUCUCGUUAAAUGCAAAUCAUCCAGCUUCAAAUGGAAAUCCUCGAAAUCCAAAUUCUUUGCACUAUAUUGAUCCUUCAGGCAGAUUGAAUUCUUACCAGCAGGUAAGGUUUUGUUAUUACUCAUAUUUUGACAAGUGAUCUCUGAACUUUGAAGGUCAUAAAAUGGUCACUUUGUCCAGUGUUUUCGACUUAGAAAAUGCAUGUGACUUUCAAGUCUUUCUAUGGCCGUCAUAGGGAAAUAGAUAUUUCAAUAGUUCGUAGAAGUUGAGAGAGAAUAUCACUGAUUAGUUAUUGGCCUCUUAAACCAUUUACAGGCAAUAACGGAAAUUGGGGAGGUCAUACAAUUUUAUGAUUCCGAUAGACGCUUUCCUGCAUGGGGAUUUGGAGGGAAGACAUUUGAUGGCACUGUAUCACAUUGUUUUAACUUGAAUGGAAGAGCAGGUGGCUUUGAGGUAGGGGUAACCGGUAACUGGAGUUCGCAACUUUGUUGUAAUCCUUAUUUGGUUGGCUUGUCUCCCAUAACUUUUCAUUUUUAAUAACAAACAUUAUAAUAUGUUUCUACAUUUUCUGAAAAUUUCCUUGGAAUUUUAUCCUAAAAGAUGUAUAUUUUAUCCUCUUCCAUUUUUUUUAUUAACUGCCGGUUUCUUUAUUUAAUAGGUAGAUGGAGUUGAAGGCAUUAUGGCUGCUUAUGCAAGCGCUCUAAACAAUGUUUCUUUGGCAGGACCGACUCUGUUUGGUCAAGUGAUCAACACAGCUGCACGAAUUGCUGGACAGUCCCUCUCAUACGACAGAAGCAAGUAUUUCGUCUUACUCAUUAUAACGGUGAUUACAAUGAUUCUAUAUAUUCACAGUUUUCUCUUUCUAUCAUUCUUUUUGGGUGAUUUGUAAAUUUGCAUUGUCUAUCUAGGAUGGAGUUCUGACAGAUCUCCAAGAAACGAAAGAUGCUUUGGUAAGGGCUUCUGAUCUUCCCUUGUCAAUUCUAAUUGUGGGUGUGGGAGGUGCAGAUUUUACACAAAUGGAGGUACACAAUGUUUUCCAACUGGAAUAUCUUCUUACUAGCAUUGAACUUCUUUUUUCUAUAGUUUGAUAGAUUCAAUUUAGAGUAUAUAUGCAGUGUGGUAUUAUCCCACUUUUGUUGCAGAUUCUUGAUACUGAUAACUUUGUUGGCAGAUUCUUGAUGCUGAUAAUGGCUGUAGAUUAGAGAGCUCUACCGAUCGGGUAGCUACCAGAGAUAUAGUACAAUUUGUUCCAAUGCGAGAAGUUCAUAGUGAGUGCAUAUGAUUCUUUGACAAAAUUAGUUCAAACUAUUGAAUUUAGGAGUUAAUUCACAAAAGUUUCUGAAUUUUUUCAUGCCUGAACAAACGAACCCAUUGUUUUCUGAACAGGUGGGCAAAUUUCUGUUGUACAAGCACUUUUGGAGGAGCUGCCUGGUCAGUUUUUGACCUACAUGCGCUGCAGAGAUAUCAAACCACUCAAUGUUCAGAUGGCCCAAACAUGCGCUUGAGUAAAUAUUCAUAUGUUUGGAAAGGGUACAAAACCAAGCCAAAUAUAUUAGACAAGACCAAGCCAAACAUAUUAGGCUAUACAAACAUAACAUAGCAGAAAUUGAUAAGGUACAUUACAUAUUUUAGGAUAUAGCGGUUUUAGACGAUGGUAAAUUACAUAUGUUAAGAUAGAGUGGUUUGCAACUAACUUUUGAUGGCUUAAUGAAUUGAUUGAAUUUGUAUUUAGAUUCUAUCAAUGAUCUCAUAUUUUUCCUAUCCAUGUCUUUCGAUUUUUAUUAUUCCCUCUACCCACUUGUUUCACAAUUUGUUUGUCUGAUGGCUUAAAACUCCAAUUUCUGUUGCUGUAUUAUCAUCUUUGUUGAAUAUCUACUACAAUGAACAUGUGCUGAAUGUCAACUUUUACUACUACACCAGCAAUCUAACACAUGGCUCACGUGCACACAAGACAAGUCUGAUUCACACAUCUUUAAAGUGUUGUAUUAUAACUCUCUGAAACUAGGUUUGAGUAAUCAAGAAAAGCCAAAAUGUAGAACAAUGACAAAAAAAAAAUGAAGACCCUCUUACAGUCUUAACUUGAUAGAAAAAACGAGCUACAUACCAUGUCUCACAAAUUUCAAAGAAAAUUGGCCUCAUUCCUGAUGCUGCACAGAAGGUUGGCCUGAAUCAUCUUUAAGAAAGCUCAUUUAUUACAUUAAUACAUUAUAUCAGUGAGAUGAUGCUACUUUAAUGAAACUCAUGUCUCAAGUUAGGAACAGCUACAUGGGCAUUUCAUCGAACAGUUGAUAUGCUUGGCAGAUAAUCGAAGUUUCCUGGAAGUUGCAAGUGCUGCCGGCAUUUUCAAAAUUGGAAGACCAUUCAAAGGUUUUCAAUAAUUACACGUGUGAUAAUCUUGUGAUGAUAAUGAUUUUAUGUAUCUGAUUAUAAGCUAAGCUAAGGUAGUGGAUUUGUAAGUAAGCACACGGCAAAGUAUUUAAUCUUCUUAUUGUCGCAUUCUUCUAAUCAACUUGGGAUCAUUAAUACCAGUAAACUACAACUUCACCUAGGCUUCAGGGAGGAUCCACAUGUUGUCUACAUUGAGCAUUUGACCAGUAAACUUUUAUUUUUCCAAAAUUUUCUACAUAAAAUCUUGAUAUUUUCAUGAAAUUACAUAAUUUCUUAUAUAAUUGUCUCCAAAAAAAUACCAAUAGGUGCACGAACACAAAUAUGAUGCACACUUCUCUUUAAUUAAUUUAGGGCUUAAAGAGAUUUUAAGAUGCCUACAAAUUGAAUAUGGCAGAUCUUGGACACCAUCCAUAAGAAAUAAAACUAGCCUCAAAUUGGAUUUCUGAGUACUCAAACAAAGCUAAAAGCAUAAUAAUGAAUGAAAACUGAAACAAAAAAAUCCUCUCACCAACACCAUCCGACUCUUAAUAUAUACAAAGAACUCGAGCUCGAGCCUUAUCUAAAAUGCUGCACAAGUAGCAUGAAUCGUCUUCAUAAGUUUGGAGACUCUGCAGACAAAGAGUAAAAAGACAUUGAAGGUGUAGUUUUCACAUAAUUAAAUUGCACAAAUUAGCCUCUAUUAAGGACACAUAAAUCCUUCAAUUCUCUCUGUAAGCAAUUAAUUUCAUUUUUUAUUCUUUUAUUUUUCGCUAUGUCUGUCUAACAACUAAUCCUAAACAUACAACAGAGUAGAGUAGUUGUAUUUUAAAAAGAUGUACCAAUAUGAUUUAACAAAAAAUUCAACAUAAAUAAAACAUUUUUAGUCAGUAAAAUAGAAUCAAAUCAAAACCUCCCAUUUAUCUUACCACUGUUUUUCGCAUCUUUUUCCUUUUCAUUUGCCUCGGCGGACUUCUCAUUCUCUUUUUCCUCCCCUUCCUAAUCAGAUUUAAAAUGAAUUUAUAAAAAAUUAAUAUGUAUUUUUUUCUUUUUGUUAUUAAAUCAGUAAUUUUUAGAAAAAAUAAAUAAAUCAUCAUCUCAUAGUGAAUGAAUACUUACCUUUUUUUAUUUUAAGAUAUACGUAUUGAAUGGUUGUAUUAAGGUCCCGAUCCCAAGCCCAAAGUUUAUUAUGAAACACGCUCAGCUGCACUAUCUGUAACUUGGGUGUGCUUAAUUUCCCUUCUGAGAAAAUCUUCAUAUUGGGGCAAUUUUCCACCACUAAUGUUUCCAGAGAUGGGAAUUUGAAGGCGCAAUUAUUCCCAGAGCAGCUGAAACUUGUCAGACUUUCUAAGUCCCAAAGCUGCAAUUCCUUUAAUUUGCUGAAAACAAUUUCAUCUUUUGCUGCAUAAUUAUCUCCCUCAUCAUCCUCAUCUGCCACUAUUUCUGUUAUCAUCUUGCAGAAACCUAUCUUCAUUCGUCUCAGUCGCAUCAGACUCCUUGCGGUUGAGGAUGUUAGUACGUGUAUCAUUCUAGAGCAAUCACAUACCGUCAAAGUUGUUAGGUUCUGAAAGGAUGUCAAGGAUGGCACUAGAUUAGUCAAAUUGUCACACUCGAAUAUCUCCAGCUGUUCCAAAUUGUUGGUAUUGGUUGACUCUUGUUUGAAAAUCUGCUUCAGUUCACGACAAUGGUUUAUCCCUCUCAUCCUUGCUUCCUUCCCAUUUUCAACGUUUUCAAAUGAUGUGAACAAAGCCUCAUUGUUCCCUCCUAUAGAGAGAAUUUUGAUGGUGUGAAAUCUCUGGAGGAAAUCGUCAAGUGAUAAAAUAGUACUUGACUCAUCAAGCCGGACAUCAAGACAUUUAAGUUUGCAAAGCCAGUCUUCUGGAAACAGGCCUAUGUGCUUUUCAUCAACGAUCAAUUCUUCCAAAUUGGGGAACACCUGGGUGAUCAUCAAUCACAAAAGUGGCAAGAUGGAGUUAGCACUUCUUUCUAACGAUUUCACAAAUUCAAGUAAAUACAAAGCAUUCCAAUGAUGCGUAUUGAUGGCCGGACAAAUUUAUAGAUAUGCGGAGCGAGUUUGAUUUUCAGCUGUAAAUACAAAGUAAAAACAAAGCAUUCCAUUUAAGUAAUGUGUAUUUUCUUCCAUUCUCUCUUCUUAACUCUUGUCCAGUAGAUAGAUUUUUAAAUUUUAUUAGAUUUGUGCAUAAUCUCUAUGAAAAAUACUUCAAUUAUUCUCAAAUUGCAUUUAAACUUUGAGAUUCUUUUAAUUGAUCCGUUUAUUUGGUUUGAAUUGAAAAUCUUACAAAUUUAUUUUAAAAAAAAAAUUGGAGUUUUUAACUUUUUCUUAAAGCAAAAAUGAAUAAAUAAUAUGAAUUUUAAAAGUUUAAUAAUAUAGUAAGAAGUUGGUAUUUCAUUAAUAUUCAUCCAACUCAAUGGAAUUGGAUAUAUUUACUAUUGUGCAAGAAUGGAUUUUAUUGUACAUAAAGUUUAAUAGAAUAAGAUUUCUUAAUUUGAGUUUUGUCCAUCUCUCUAUAUAUAUUUUAGAAUAUUAUUUAUGUUACCACGAGAUGACCAAUUUCUACUUCAACAUCAAAAUUGAUAAUCAUUUUGUAUGUAACAAUACUGUACUAAAGAGUACUAAUUUAGAAAUAGCUCUUGAACGAUUUUCAGGGAAUUAACUAUGGCUUGAAAAACUCUAGAUCUUACGAGUAUUUUCUUUGUUUGGCUAAUCAAAUGCACUGUCUCUUCCGUGUAUUUAACUAAACAUAUAGACAUAAAAUAAAAAGUAGAGGAAGAAGAAAAACUCUGAUAAUUAAGAGAAAAAACAAUUGAACAAGAAGGAAAAAAAAUAAUUGUUUACUAAAUAUCUUUUUUUUUUUUUCAUUCGGUCUAACUGACAUCCAAAAAAAAAAAAUUAUGUUUGUAAGGAUAUUAUAAAGUAUAAAUAAACUGAUUUAUAUAACUAACAUUUUGUCACUAAAAGACGAAGUGAUGAGGGCGAUGACGAUAAUAAAAUUCUGAACUCUCAAAGUAGAAAUACUUUUCAGUACGUAAGAAUUGAAAAAUAAUUACAAAAAUCUUGCGUGCGUACCUUUUCAAUAUGCAGAUCACCUGUGCAGAAGCUUGUAAGCUGCGGAAGAGAACGAAGCUCAAGUUUCCUUAAUUGAGUGAGUUCAAUCACUUCAGUACCGUUAUUAUUGCUGGAUUCAUCUCCUCUCUUGGCAGCAAAAAUCACUUCCAUAUUUUGGCAACUACUCACUUCAAUGGACUGAAGUUGUUGAAGGCCUCUGCCAAUGACCAAUGGAAAUACAUUCUUCAAUUUAUCGCACCUUUCCACCCUUAUGUUCUUUAAUUUGGAAAAAGACUCAGUACCGUUAUUAUUGCUGGAUUCAUCUCCUCUCUUGGCAGCAAAAAUCACUUCCAUAUGUUGGCAACUACUCACUUCAAUGGACUGAAGUUGUUGAAGGCCUCCGCCAAUGACCCAUGGAAAUACAUUUUUCAACUUAUCACACCCUUCCACCCUUAUGGUCUUUAAUUUGCAAAAAGACUCUGCUGUGAGUGGACCACGACAUAUUUCCUCAAGGUUCCUUAAAUCCCUCAGAAAUAAUGACUCCAACAGGGGGAAUGCGGUCGUCGGAGCUGGCGUACAAUUCAUUGUGUCAACAAGACGAACAAUGUUGCCAUUACGUCGGAUUUCGAGACGAUUCAGCUGUGGAAAACCUUCUCUGCCUGGUUCACAAAGAACAUUCUUCAUGUCCGGCAAUCCAUCUAAAGCUAGGUCUUCAAUACCCUUCAAUUGCAUGAUAUGCCCCUCGUUCAAGCAAAUGUUGGCACCAUUUGUGAGCUUCAGGUUGAAUUUUCUAGAAAUCCCAUCCGAUGGGGGAACCAGCCACCAGACAUGUCCUAUAAAUAUCCUGUACCUUUGCAGCAUUUUGAAGAACGACAAGUCUCUUGGUAGAGCCUUUUCAUCUUGGAUUAGUAUUUCUAAAGAGGUCAAUUUAGAUAAAUUAUUCAACUCGUCAAGGCUGGCAUUUCUUCUUUCACCGUCGACUCCUCCAACCUUCCCCCACAUAAUGGGACUCUCACCGAUAUACAAUUCUUCUAAUCGUGAUAAGCUUGAUAUCACAUUUUCUGGAAUAACUUUUAGUUUGGAACAAUUGCUCAGAUCCAACAACCUCAACUGAGUCAGCCGGCCUAUUUCUUCAACCAGUUUCUGCAUAUUAGAACCUCGAAGUGUAAGGAUUUCUAAAUUCUUUAGAUCUCCAAUAAUAGCGAUGUCUCCUAGUUGGCAAUCAACGAGAGACAAUGUUUGAAGGCUUUGAAAGAGACCAAGCGAUGAAGGCAAUGCCAACAAAUGCAUCUUAGUGAAAUCUAAAACUCUAAGCUCUGUCAUCUCAGUAAAAAUGUUAUCUGGAAUUCUCAAAGAAGGAUCAUUGCUAAUACGAAAGUAUUUAAGUUGCGGACACUCGAACCCUUGAGGAAGCUCACUAAUAUUAGUAUUAAAUAAGGAGAUUGCGGUGCAAACCUUCAGUGUAUCCUUAUCUGGCCAGCUGGUCAGCGGAACAUCAUCAUUUUCCACCGCAAACACAUGUUGGACUCUAGAUGCAAUUGAUAUGGCUACAUCACGAACAACAUCAUGCAUAGAAAACCUUUCACUAGUAUCGCCAUCAAGCAGCAAGCAAGAGUUCUUGAGUUUAUCAACCAAUGUAUGUGCUCUAUCCCGUGCCUCAUCCACCGUGUUGAUGUUUUGAAACAGACCCAAACCCAUGCCACGAUAAAGCAAGUCUUUAACGUUACAUAUGUAGGAGUAUCCUAUUAGCAAAAACGUUUUCCUGAGUUCCUCACCUCCUAACUGAUUGUAACUCAACUGGAUAGUUGAAUAAGCGGCCACCGCCUGUGUCCCAGAGAAACUUCUCAAAAAAUUCCUUUUUAAUUGUCGUAAAGCAUUCCUCCAUUCAUACGGACUCUUAUUUUUCAAUGCCUUCGCUAUGGGUACAAUGGCAAUGGGCAAGCCAGCACAUUCCUUGACUACCUCUGUCACUACAGAUUUCAGUUCACCAUUUUCUAUGCAAUCACCUGUCAUCUUUUUGAAAAGACUCCAAGCUUCUUUAUCGUUCAGAACAUCAACAACAAAAUUUUGUUGACAAUCCAUCUCACAAGACAACACAUCUUGACUUCUUGCUGUCAGCAGAACUUUACAUCCGCCGUUAUCAUCUGCCAAUGGAAUUCCAAUCGCCUCCAAAUCGAGACUCCCCCAAAUAUCAUCCAAGAUUAUGAGGAUCUUCGUCUCUUUCUUCAAUUGUUCGAGCAGCCUCCAUGCUCUUACACUUUCACUCUCUUGAUCUAUUUUCAGGCCCAGCUUCUCUGCAAUUUCUCUUUGUAUUUCUUUUAUUUGCGGUGUUUGGGAAACACGUGAAGAAAUGACCUUCUCAAAGAGAUUAUUUUCCUUGGCCUGUCUGCCAACUUCUUUCACCAGCGUUGUCUUUCCAAUGCCGCCCAUCCCGUACACCCCAAUCAUGUUGAAGUUACGGUUGCUGAGUGCAUCUAGUAUCCCCUUCAAGGUGGACUUUCUCGAUUCAAAGUGCAUGAAAUCCUGGGUAGACUUAAGCCAUGUCUCCUCUGGAAUGGUACGGAAAGAAACACUGUCGAAUCUCCCUUUUUCAUGGAGUCCAACUAUAGCAUUCGCUUCUCUUUCUGCUUUCUUGCUAAGCUGGUACCGAGUCUUCAAAUUAGGACACAACCCUUUCAGACACCGGUUGUUUGACUUCUCUUUGUCUGCAAUAAGUGUUUCGACUUCGUUGAUUGCCUCGUCCACAGUAAUCAGCCACUCCUCAACGGGCUGCUGAAUUCCGUCCCCUUUAAUUCUGGAAUCAUCAACCUUGUACUGCACACUGGCUCUAGCAAUCUUUAGCUUCUCCAAUUCAUUCUUCAGCUUCUCCAAGUUGGUGUUGUAGCUGCAGCAGUAAGUAAAUUGACGAAUUAUGGGAGCAACCAAGUACUCUGCAACUUUUGCAGUAACGGAGAUAACAAUUUCCAUUAUCCCUUUCUUUUUUAUUUUUCGCUUUCAGAAAACAGGGGAAAGCAAAACUAAUCAAACUAAGCAGCAGUAAUCAAUCAGCUGGGAUGAGGGAAAUAAGAAGUUUGGAUAAAUUGCUAAAAUAAGAGGUUGAAUAGAUUUAAGGGAGGAGGAGGGGAAAGGAGUGAAACAAAGGGGGAUCCUUUUUUUGCUAAGAAAAAUUGAAAAGCGAGUACAAUAAAUGAAAGAUUUGCAAAGAAGGUGUAGGAUCGAGGACAAGAACGAUUCAGAAAAGGGAGACAGAAAAUGAAGAAGAGAUUUCAGAGAACUCUAGAGAUUAGGGAAAUGCAGAGGCAGACAGUUGUCAUCUCAAAUUCAUACAAGGAGAAGACUCGUGCUUCCAAGUCAACUAAAUUCUUAAUAAUUGAGAUAGAUAGUUAUAAGGGUUAAAGUUAUAAUGGUUAUUAUGGUUUUAUUUUAAAAAAUAAAAAAUUAUAAAAUAUAAAAUAACUAUAAAAAGUAUUGGUGUUAUCAUUUUAGUAGUGUAUCUUUAAAAAAAACCUUUUAUCUUAUAAUAUUUUUGUUAAAAUUAUGAGACAGGCAAGUGGACAGGUGCUUGUCUCACUAAAUUUCAUAUAUAUUGCGAAAGCCAUAACUUGAGCUACAUAUGUCCGUUUUAGGGGUAUAAUAUAUUGUUUCGAAGCUUACGACGAGACAAAUCAUAUGCAAAAUCAUGUACUUUAUAAAAUCCAUGGGUUUAUGUGCGACAAGCAGUGAGACAGGUGCCUGUCGCACAUAAAUGCAGUGCGUUUAUGUGAGACAUGCACCUGUCCCACUUGCCUAUCUCACUUGUUCUGAACUUCAUUUUUUACCCGAUUUUUCUGUAUUUUCAAUGAUUUUUCUUCAUUUCUCAACUCAAACUAAGUACUUUAACAAAUCACAUUAUUUUAUGAAUGAAAAAUAACAAUAUUUGCAACAAAACCCACUUUAAUUUCGAACUUAGUUGAUAAAAUCAAUAGAUUAAAGAUUUACAUUGUGUAAAAGCAUAAACUAAUUUUAAGAAGCUCUCCUAUUAAUGAUUAUAUUCAAUUAUGUAAUUGAUUUAUAGAGAGUGAUGAAGUUUGUUGAGAGUGAUAAAUAUUUGUUAAGUUAUUGAAGAAGAACCGUAUUUAGUUGUGCUGAAAUUGAAAAAGUGGCAUGUCUUUGUAAAUUUGAUGAAAGUGAUGAGGGUAAUUUAGUCCAAAAGUAGGGUGUUUGGCUAGUUAUGAUAGAAAAAAGUUUGAGGGGUUAAAGUUGAAAAACGUAAAUAUUUUAUGGCCAUUUUAUAAAUUUCCCAAAAAAAUUGGAAUCUCAAAUAUCUAGCGUCAUCGUUAUCUUUUUUUUUCUUCAUUUUUUUUCUUUUUCCAGACAGUGGUCUACCAUCUUUGAAAAAUUAUUGGCACUUUCAAAUGGGUAUUAAGCCAUGCAUUGACAUUGAGGGUCUCAUCUGAAAGAGGAAUUUUGGUAGCAGCAGUGGCUGUGUAAUUUUUUUUUUAAAUGAUUUAUCUCUAAGAAUGCGCGAUCAAUUUAAAAGUGGAUUUUAUAUUAAAUUUCUUUGAGAUUGCUUUUCGAUUGAUCUGUUUGAUUUGGCUAUGGAAUGAUGGUUUUAUUACUAUGAGUUUGAAGGAUUUAUGAAAUAGAAAUUAAGAUUGAUAGAAAACAUAUUGAUCUCCGAGCUUUAAUGGCAGUUUCAACUUGUUAUCUUCAAGCCUCACCGGUGGUUUCAAUUUGAUACUUUGAUGAGAGCAAAAUUAGCAAUUUAGCACUAGAGGAAGAUAUUUAAUCACAAGUAUAAGAAGUUUUGACAGCGAAGAGAGGUAUGCUUCAACUAGGUUUAAAUUUUUAUUUUUUUUUCUUAUUUUUUAUUGAAAAUUUAAUUAUUUUUUUAAAAUAAGGUCAUACAUGGUAUUUUACUAGUUAACUAACAAUGAUAAACGGAAAUAUAGUAAAAUGAAAGAUUUUACAAAAAUACAAUAAUAAAAUGCUAAACAUUAAUAUUUUUUUUUGUUAUUGGGUGCUUCAUACUUUAUAAUGUAGUCAAGCAAUAAUAACCCUAGUUACAAUUACAUGUAGAUGGUGUUAAUUGGGCAUUUUGGCGUUUCAUUGAAUUUUCUUGUUACCAGUAGCUAUUGAGUUGCCGACAUUUUUCAACUUGUAGUUCUAAGGCUUCUCAAGCAAAUUUUAUGGUAGCUUCCAUUAAUUUUAAGUGUUAAUCAAAUAUUUUACUACUAUAAUUUAAAAAUUACAGUUGAUAAGCAAUAAUAGCAGAGAGAGAGAAUUAAAUAGAUUGAGAAUGAUUUUUGAUUCAGGGCGAGUUUUCGAGUGCUUUACGAACAAUCAAAAUGCUAAUCCUUUUAGCCAAUAAACACAAGCGCUUUGUAAAAAACAUUACGGGAAAACCCUCUAUGUAAAUAACAAUCGUGUAAUUACGGAGGGCGUAUCUUAAUUACAUGUCAGUUACAUUCAAUAACAACAAUAUUACUUAAAAAUUUUCUAUUAGCAAUGAGUGUGUUGGAGGUAGGAUAAAAAAAAUCUGAAGACUUUGCAAACUUUUUUGUGAAAAUGCAUCACAGUUGUCUUGUUCUUUCACUGUUGAUAAUUACAAUGAAGCCGAAGUUUGCGGACUUUAUUAUCAUUUUAAAAAAAAAUUAGAUAUACAAAAAAGGGUCCAGCUACUUUGCGUCAGGGGUUUGGUACCCCAGUCAUUUGUCUUUUAAUGAAGGCGUCUUUGGAUAGCCAAUAGAGGAAUUUGUGGGCUGAGAUUUAACCAUUGGAAAAUGGGUAACUGGCUGAAAGAAUAGUUGUCCAUUUGGUAUAAUGAUAAUUUUGGAUAAGGAAACUACUCAUCUCGAUCUCCUCAUCUCGAUCUCAAUCGAAAUUCAUCUCGAUCUCGGUCACAGUUCGAGAUAAUGAUAAGCCUUAUCUCCUCAUCUCGAUCGAAAUUCACAACUCUCUCUCUCGGUCACAGUUCUUCAACCACGGUUCGUCACAGCUCUCUCUCUCCAUCACGGUCUUUAACCAGAAUCGACUAUUGUUGUGCCUCUGCUUCUCUCGACUAGUGCUAUUGCUGCGCCUGUGAUCUAUCUCGAUUGGUGGUGGUGCUGUUGCUACUGCAUCUCUGCUCGGUCUCAAUUGUUACUGCUGCUGCUCUUGCUCUCUCUCUCUUAGGUUGCUCCUAUAACGAGAUCUAAGCAUAUAUGUUGAGGAUCGACAUUGGCUCACUGGUAUUAUUCUUCUAUUUGGGUAAAUUUUGAGUAAUUAUUAUUUAUCUUGUGCUCUGAUUUCAUUAUUCUUAUAUUUCCAAGCUUCACUUGUCCCUGCGUUUUAAGGAAUAAGAAAAGAAAAGCAGUGUAAGAGAAAUAAUAAGAGUGGAAAUGGCAAUGUUGUCAAUGAAGAAGAAACCUUUCAUUUUUGCUUUGGUUCUGUGUCUUAUUAUGGAUAUGGGAUUUGUUGUUGUGUCUUUGUUGCAGAGUUUUGAGAAAGCAAGUUACAGUCGUGGGUUCAGCAAAUCUUUUGGUGAGAUUUUUUAUACUUCUAAUUAUGGAAUUCUUUAACUCACUAACUGGCUUGGCUUCUGCACCUCAAAUGGGGUAAGGGCUUUCAUUUUUUUUUUUCAUGCUCCAAUUUUCAAGGAUUUAACUUAAUAACUACAAAAGGAUAAACUUGCAUAUCAUGGACCUUGGUGGUAUGAGGAUUUUGGUAUUAGUGGGAUUUUGGAUUAUUCUGGAGUUUGGUGUACCUUUUGAAAGGUAAUUUGGUUGAUGCAUGAGUAUCUUGUGUCACAUGUCCAAGAGAAAAUGUUAAUAUGUUUGAUUUGGUUUUUGCUUUCUUGUUUGUGUCUUGCAGUUGGAAUAGUUGGAAUUUUUUUGCCUGCAAUAUCAGUGAAGCCAUCAUUAAAGAAAUUGGUAUUUGUUUGUUAGCUCAUAUAAUUUGUUUGUUUUAUUAUAUCAUACUGAGAAGCAAUUAACAUAUUGGCAAUGACAAUUUGGAAAGUCUUGUUAUCGAGAAUAAGAGAUAAGCACAUUAAUUCACUUGGGUUGCAAAGAAUUUGAAUGAAUGAGGGAUGAUGAUUCUAAAAAAUAAUGUAAUGGCAAAUAAAUAGCUGAAAAUUGAAAUGGAGUUGGCUGGGGAGAGCAAGAAUGACUUCUAUCAAAUAGGCUUGAUUAAUUUAAAUGGCAGAUACUCAUUUGAAUUAAUCUUUUUUUUACAACUAGGGGGCUUGCAUAUCCUGAGUUUUUUAAGAAAGUGAUCGCAAUGAUGAUGAUAAUAUUGAUUCUCAUUAUGUCUUUAUGAUCACAAGUUUAUCUUUUCAAGGUACUUGCAUAAGCUUUACAGGUUUACUGUAUAAAUAAUACACUAGGAACAUGUGGUUUGUUAUUAUCUGAUGAUUUGCAUUUUUCAGUUUAAUUUCUGUUGAAUGCAUUGAAAUUACAACAAAAUGGUUGUGAUUGGAUAUGAAAUACACUGGGAACCUAUGUAUACAUUUAUACCAUAUAUUAUUUUUAGCUGUGUGUUUUGGACAAUUUGAUUUUGAUGAUGGGUUCAUGUUAUGUUUGUAACUGCUGUGUUUUUGCAUCUUGUUUGCUGAACAAGCACUUUUUACUUGAUGGCUUAUGUCUAUCAACCAUCCUCACUUCAUGGGUAGUCAUUGCAUUCAACAAAGCACCUGAAUCCCAAAUGUAGUUUCAGUUGUUCUAUGAUUGAUCAUUGAUCAAUAUAUUCUCCCAUUUCCUUGUUGACGAUGAUAAUUCUAUUUUAAUUUCUAAACUAUCUUCCAUUUCAUGCCUUGAAUUAGAAGGAUGAAUUUUGUGAAGUUGCAUCGACAUGUGAGACUAAGACAGGACCUUCCAUCGCAGCAGGCUUUUGAAGGGCAUGGUCCCAAACUCUUAAGACCUUGAGAUUGCAAGAUGUAGGGCAUCAUAACCGAAAGCAUGUGCUCAUGGCAAUUUUUGUGGCAAUACAUUCAAUCUCAGCCAUUUAUUUAUUGCACAGGAAACACUUCAUGUUAGAUCAUUUUUUAUGAAUGAUUCUUGUCAUCACUUGUUCACUAAGAUAUGUGUUUGUCAGGUGUUCUUUUUUUUUUUUUUCUCUCUUGUACCACAUUGUUUUCAUGGUUGAUUCCAUCGUAUUAAUUAAUUUUUUAAAUAACUGAUUGAUGUUGUAUUCCUCAUUGAUUAAAUGUGAAUAUUGUAAAUUAAACUAUUAUUUUAUUUUAAUUCUCUUCUAUGGAUGAUUUGAUAUGAAAUCGAAAUUGUAGGGAUGGAUGGUAUAAGAGAUAAAAUUGUAAUUACCAUGCAACAUGAUUACACGCGUAAUGCAUGAUGCCCAUCAUUUAAUUUUUAUAAUUAUUUUGUUUAAAUUAUAGAUAUUGUAAUAUUUUAAUUAUAGUAUAAAAAUAAAGAUAAUAUGAAUUUUUUUUCAAUUAAUGUUAAUAAUUAAAUUUUAUCAUCAUUUAAUUUUUUAUAAUUAUUUUAUUUAAAUAGCGGUAUUGUUCGCGUGGAAAAUGAUAUUAUCACAUCAUACUUUCGUUUGCCCAAAUUGUAUUAUUCAUACUUUACUUGUUCAUAUCAAGCCCUAUGUUGGAAUCAAAUUUAACUUAAUUAAUCCAAUCCCACCAUCUUUUACUGCAUUCACCAGCCCGUAAUUUUUUGGAUAUUCUCAUAGAAAGUAGAGUACAACUCCUUUCUCUUAACAACACUUAAGAAGAGACCCCUAAAAUAAUAGAGUUCUUUUACGUCAAUGCAAGCAUUCGUUCUCUGUUUUUAUUUUUAAGAAAAUACUCUUAACUUAAAAAUAAACGAGACUACUUGGAAGUGGUACAUUUAGCAUGCCCUGGGUUAUAUUUUUCACACUGAACUCAAUUUCCAUUCCGAUCACACCCCGGUGUCUAAUAGGUGUUGUUUUUCGUUUUCCCGUACUCGAUGGGCCUGAUGUUACAGGAUAGCAAAAGUUGAGCUUCAUUCUUGUCAAUUGCUGCAGGUGUCGUUGGCAGCACUAUAGACGGAUGCAUUUGUUUUUUUUCUUUGCCUUAUUACAUCUUUUUUGUUGUCAAUUGAAUGUACUUUUCUUUUAACUUGCAUGUUUUUGCACAUGGCCGCCUGCCUAUCCCCCUACCUAUCUGGUGGUUAAAGAAACACAAAUUUAUCGCUACAAGACUCUCCGAUUUUUUAUACAUUAUGAAAUUUUUUUGGUUUAUCACAAAUAAAUUAAGGUUUAGAGAUACAGAUAGAGAAAACAUUUUUCUUUGUUAUACUAGAAUUUAUUGUAUUUUAAUUGCCCCAUAUUUUUUACAUUCUUAACCAAUAACAAUAGGGAUUGUUGAAUAAUAUAUGAAAUAAUUUUUUUUUAAUAAUUAUUACCAUUUAUUACGAGCUGCGUCUGUUAAAUUUUUAGACCUUUUACUUUUUUUUGCCUUACAACAAACAAUUGUGCCUUCUCAAGGAAGCUUAAAUCUCUAGCAAAUGGUGGUUAAUUUUGCAUGCGUGGCUGCGCUUACCAAAAGUCCACCAAUAUGUGGAGUGCACUUACAAGCGAGUUGCCAUUAGCACUCAACACGAUAGGGGUGUUCAGAAUCCAAUCCAAUCCACUCAAUCCGUUUGAUCCACUGAAUUUGAUCCGUAUCAAUCUGAUCCGUAGAUUAGUGGAUUGAAUAUGAAUUGAAAUUUUAAAAAUUCACAAUCGAUGGAUUGGAUAUCAAUUUACUUCUGUAAAUAAAGUAAAUCUGCAGAAAUCCGUGAAUCUGCAAAAAAAAUAUAUAUAUAUAUAAUUAAAAAAUGAUUAUAAAUUUAAUUAAAAAAUUAUAAAUGUGACAUUGCAUAGUUACUAAACACUAUAACAUAUUUUAGCCAUUACCCAAUAAUAAUAUAAAAUGAAAAAUAAUUAAAUAAUCAAAUAUACAAAUAUAACUUGUAAAAAUUGUAAAACAAAAUAAAAGCAAAGUCACACGCACUAGCAAAGCAAAGUAACAUAACGUCAACUCACCAACAAUUUACAAAUAAAAAAUCCUAAGGUUUCCCGCCGUCACAUACACUAGCAACACUCAAUACUGGUUAGAUACACUCUCAACACGGAUUUAAAGGACAUCGGCCGCGCGAUUCCAGCUAGAGCAAGCCAUCUUCUUUCCCAAGUCCAUCGAGCCACUUCACAUUUACUGGUUCUAGCUGAACAAUUUCACUAUCACAACCUUCAAGAUCUCCACCCGUACGGCUUCUCCUGAUUCCCAUCGUGGAUGGCUCCGUAAUCACCACUUUUCGACAGCCGCAACAGUCCUGGUGAAGGAUCAGACUGUGUUUGGUUUCCGAAACUUCGCCAUUUCAAUUAAUUGUGGUUUUAUUUAAACAAUUAAUUUCAGUGUUAUAUUAAUGUAUUAUUGUAACUUUAUUUGAACAAUUAAGCUUGGUGUGUUAUAUUUUGAAACUUUGAACACAUUAUUGUAGCUUUAGUUGAAUAAUUAGUCUCGAUGUGUUAUAUUUUGAGACUUUAAAUGUAUUAUUUUAGCUUUAUUUAAACAAUUAAUUUAUUUAAAUUUUAUUCAAUUUUAAAUUUAAUUGGUAGCAAAAUUAUUUGUAUAUUAGAUUUUUUUAUUUCAUUAGUUGGAGAGAAUUAAAAAUUUUUAAUUCGAAAACUAAUGCACAAAAUGGUGGAUUGAGUCAAAUCCGCAUCCGAUCCGCAGAUGUAUGGAUUGGAUUUGAAUUGAAUUUUAUCAAUCCGUGGAUUGGAUUGGAUUGAAAAAUUAUAAUCCGUAAAAUUAUGGAUCGGAUAUGGAUUGAUAUCCAAUCCGUAAAAUCCAAUCCGCGAACACCCCUACAACACGAUAUGCUCUUACAAGUGGGAUGCACUUAGUAAUGGCUCGCCUAACACAACUACUCAGUCAUGUUCUGCUUUGCAUCCAUCUGUGCCCACCCAAAUUCUAGACUUCUCUACAUUUUGCAAAUAACUACAAUUCGUUUGAAUUGUGCAUUUACGUCCUACGAGAUAUUUGCGCAUGUUCUUACGAAACUUUAUUACCUUGGCAUCCAAGCCUAUAACAACCCCGUGACACUUGCUAUUUUGCACACCAUACACACAAACCCACCAGCACACGUACAAGCUCCAUAGCUCUUAUAAAAAGUUAUCUUCUAAUUUCUCUUUACUGUGUAAUAAACUUACAUUCAGUCAUACUUCUCUUAUUUCUCUGUAUCAUUUCCACAAGCAUCCUUACUUCAUUAGUUUAUAGCCUCCUUUGCAAAACACUUAUCCCGCGACAUACUGCUCAUGAGAAUAGUUACGAUACGGUGUUUGGUUCAACAACCCCAAGAUAGUUUUCUCUUAGUUUUUUUCCUCUUUCAACUUAUCCUUCACCUCAAUUUAGACCGUCAUUCUUCAUUGAUCAUUUUUAAUUUAUAUUAUUAUUAUUAUUAUUAUUAUUAUUAUUAUUAUUAUUAUUAUUAUUAUUAUUAUUAUUAUUAUUAUUAUUAUUAUUAUUACUACACACUACAUAAUUGUUCCACAUAUUUUUAUUUUAUAUGAUUUUCAUUUACUCAACUCAUACGCAAAUUUUCCACAAAAACAAAUUAUAGGCUAACUCAACUGUAAAUUCAUGCCAGGCUAGUUUUAAAAUUACAGUUGAUAUUUCGCUUUUUUUUUUCCCACCAAGCACGCAAUUCAUUACCUUAAAUCCACUUCCAAAUGUUUUCGUCACUAUUUUCGAAAUUUUCAAAUCAUUCUAACCCCAACCCAUACUUGCACGCUUCCAACUUCUUGUUUUUAACCAAUUCUUGCAUGCACCCUUUUUUCUAUUGUUUUACAUGUGUUACUGUAACAACUCCCAACCCACUACAGGAGUUUUUUUGGUCAAAAAGAUGAGACUUAUAGUACCAGUGGCGGGCCCCCUGGGUCCUCAAAUUAUUCAUAUGGGCAUUUCGUCGAACUGUUGAUAUACUCGGCAUCUGCACUUGGAAGACGCGUUCAAAAACUCUAAACCAUGUUAAAGUCGACCAAAAAGACAAAACAUAGAAAGCGACAAUCCAACAACUAGGUAAAAAUAUUCGCUGUCACAAAUGGGGGCAAAACUACGGUGAAACAGUAGUUGCAACCAAUUAUUAAAUUUAUAAUUAUACAAUUGUAUUAGGUAAAUCUAAUAAUUAAAAGUAAUAAUAAUACCGUACUCACUGUUGCAACAUAACUCUCCCACAAAUAGUUGCGUGUAUAUUUGGAAACAUCAAAUAUAAACAAAGACCAUGUGAAAAAGAAAAGCAAAAAGCUACAAAUAAGAGAAAGGGAGCACAGUGAAAGAUCUGCAAAGAAGGUUUAGGACAACGAUUAUUAUGAAAACGAGACCAGAAGACGUAUAAGGGAUUUCAGAGAAUUUGAGAGAAGUGGGAUGAUUAAGAAAAUGCAGGAGCAGUACAUUCAUGACCUCUAUUAGUAAUUUGAUUUCGUGAAUCAUUUUCAAAAAGAAAAUAAUUAAUGCACACAAUUGGAGAGUAGGUGAUGACAAUGAAAGAUCAUCACAUAACCUACUUAUUAUUUUAUAUGCUUUACUGUGGAAUCGACAAUUGCUAUAUUGCGUAGCGUGUAUUUUGGGAUCAUCAAAUACAAACAACGACCACGAUAAAAGAAAAGAAAGACUAAUAAAGCUUUCCCAGCAGCAUUAAUCAUGAUUAUUUGAUAAAAUAGAGGUAACAAAUAAUUAUAUUUUUGGUGGAAAACAUAACAGAGCACGUUACAAGAGCUGAUUGCUUUCUUUAUUUUUUGUGAAUAUUAAACCAAAAAUACAAGUCAAUGAAAAAAAUUGAAAAUAACGCACCAUCAAGUCCACCUUGGUGCAGAAAAAUAUUAACAUUUAAUGAACUUAGAGGAAUGAGUUGGGCUAAGUCUUUAAAUCAGCUCUGUCGUGGAAUAUUACAGGAAGAUUAAAAGGAAAAUCAAUCAACUACAACUAAGUAUAUAAUAUAAUAUUUUCACGCAUCGUUUAUAAAUUUAUUGGGACACACUAUUUCCGCUUAUUGAAGAAAAUCAAGAAAUGCUGAUUCCGUCAUGCUUACUUUCAUAAUCAUUUAUAAGCUUUUAUACGAAUCCUUGUGUUUGAAUAUAAUAAUGGUUUAAGAAAUGCAUACCUGUUAGUUCUCCAUUUCUUGACUCCGAGGAAAAUUUGACUUGACAGAUGAAGCAAUGUUAUAAGAGGUUUGAUUAUGGGUCAAUUUACUGCGAGCAUUUCAACAGACGGGUGAUAUGCAUACACAGCUUCUACGCUACCACUAUCAUGCUUACCCCAUAGCUGCUUUCUGUUGUAAAACGUUGCUGACAUGUCAUCAUACUGGACAGACCUGCCGAGGUUAUUCUUCGAAGCGUUUCAUGAUGCCACGUGUACUUGAUUAUUUGACUAAUCACGGUUCACAAGUUGAGGGAGCUACUCACCACACCACCUUCCUGCUGCAAAGAAUUUUAACUGAACUUAGACUUCGUCAGAAACUCAGAAUUAGUGGUGCACGUGAUGCUUACACGUGAGGACCCCAAUGACGAAUUCCAAACGCUGAACGAUGUAUGUGUGAAUUAAAUGUAACUAUUACUCUCUAGUACAUAUAUGUCAUAUGUACACUAAGUGGGUGUAGUGCAACGAAGGUGCUCUAAUAUUUUUUCAGUGAACACAAUAUAAUCAUCAAAGUGAAAGAAAAACUUUUGAGGUUUUGGUAUAUUCAUUAGUGAAAUUUGAGCCGAAAAGAAAAAUUCAUAUUUGUAAACAUCAAAACCAAAAUCAUUUGGACAUAGUUGCUGAAAUUGAUUAGGUCAUUUUUAACCUUAAAUUUAAGAUCAUUAAUCGUUGCAUGAAUGUUUUGAUUUUAAUACCAGUGGCAAUCACGUACAUGUUUAAUGAUUUGAUUAAAUUUGUGUUUAGUUCUAUAAAUGAUUUAACUAAAAAAUUCAAAAAUGUUUAAAUAACAAUUGUUAUUAUUAACAAUUUAACUAAAAAAUUAUUAUUAAUUAUUGUUAAUAGAUUAAUUAAUUACAAUACUUUUUAUUAUUCUUAUUAAUAGUAAUUACAAUAAACUAGUAAUUAUAAUUAUAAUCCAUUUAAUAAUAAUUAUUUUUAUUUAAAUGGAGGGUAGUUUGGGAAUUUAAAAAAUAUAGGGGAUAAAUUUGAUACGCUAAGGGUUUUAAUGAAAUAAAAUAGAGUGCAAGGGGCUGAACGAAAUGUUACAAUACAGAAACUUUUAUAUACUUAUUGAUAAAUUGUAAAUACUAUUAAGUAAAAGGGGCUGAACAAUAUUUUACAGUAAGAAUUCAGAAAAAGACAAACGCAGCUGUAACUGUAACUUAGAGGAAGAGGAUCCUUAAAGUUUUUAAUGAAAAUCUUUAGUUGUUUAGUUAUAAAAAAAAAGCUUUUAAAAAAAGUUGUAAAUUAAAAUUACUUUAGUAACAAGUUUAUUAAACCUGGACUCAUCUACUUUGCAACGGCUGCAAUGUACAACUAAUUUUUUUUUAAUUUCAUUCCUUUACCUUUGGAUUUAAUGAAAAAGGUAAUUUCAAUGGUAGAGAUUUGUCCAUUUGAAUACUAACAUUAUAUUUUUGAUAAGUAUUAAAAACACAAAAAAAUGAAAGAGUUAAAAUUUUUAGCAUAUAAGUCUUUAUUGUUUCCAAUUUAUAUUAUUUAAUUAGUAGUAAAUCUUAAAAAAUAUUUUAAUUUUAAUAUUAUAUAUUUUAUUUAAAAGAAUAAAUUUUUAAUGUUAUUUAUUUUAUUUAAAAUAAAUAUUAUUUAAUAUUAUUUAUUUUCAUUUUAUUUAAUUUUAUUUAGCGUAUGCUUAUUAUUAUAUUUAUUCUUCAAAAAACUAAAUAAUAUUAAAUAAAAUAAAAUAAUCAAUAGUGAAUCAUAAAAAAUAGAUAUAAUUUUUAAUUAAUAUUAUUUAUUUUAUUUUAUUUAACGUUUUAUAGUCAUAAACUUAUCAUUAUAUUUAUUCUUUCAUAAAACUAAAUUUAACAUGCAUAACAUAACUCCAUAAGACAAAAAUGGUGGCACCUUGCAACUGUUGCAAAGUAGCUGGAUCCUAUUAAACCUAUAUGUUAUAAAACAAAUGAAAUAGGAUUAUGCAUGCAGUUAAAUAGGUGUAUUUUAGAAAAUCUAAUUCUUUUAAGGAGCUCUACAACCUAUUCUCCUAGAAGUCCAAAAUUUAAACUUCUCCUAAUAAAGACAAAAUAAUAUUUUUAAUAAACUCUAUUCAAUUUAUAGCCAAACGAUGCCAAAAAAUAUUCAAAAGCAAAAUUACUCUCUUGAUCUAUUAGUAGAGAAAUCAUACAAAAUGGACACUUAAUGGUCAAUUAUUUUCCCCCCUUUUUUUUGUAGUUUUACUUUUCCUAUAAACAUUAUUGUUUAGGAAAUAAUAAUAACACUAAAUACUCUCCACUAACACAUUAAUUAAUUAAGAGUAUUUCCUCACUAGCACGCAUUUAAUUAUCAAAUGAUUAUCAAAAGUACGGCUAAACUUUGGUAAUUAACAAAACAAGUACUCUAAGCUCUGUCAUCUCAGUAAAAAUGUUAUCUGGGAUUCUCAACGAAGGAUCACUGCCAAUAGAAAAGUAUUCAAGGUGUGGACAUUCCAACUCUUGAGGAAGCUCACUAAUAUUACUAUUAUUUAAGGAGAUUGCAGUGCAAACCUUUAGUUUAUCCUUAUCUGGCUGUUUGAUCUGUGGGACAACAUCAUUAUCCACUACAAAUACAUGUUGGUCUCUUGAUGCAAUUGAUAUGGCUACAUCACGAACAACAUCAUGCAUAGCAAACCAUUCACUUGUAACACCAUCAAGCAACAAGCAAGAGUUUUUGAGCUUGUCAACCAAUGUAAGCGCUCUAUCUCGUGGUUCUUCCAACGUGUUGAUGUUUUGAAACAGAGCCAAACCCAUGCCAUAACAGAGCAAGUCUUCAACACAACAGAUGAACGAGUACCCUAUUAGCAAAAAUGUUUCUUUAAGUUCCCUACCUUCUAAAUGAUUGUAACUCAACUCUACAGUUGAAUAGGCCACCGCUUGUGUCCCAGAGAAACUUCUUAAACAAGGCCUUUUUAAUUGAAGUAAAGCAUUCCUCCAUUCAUAGAGACUCUUAUUUUUCAAUGCCUUCGCUACGGGCACGAUGGCAAUGGGCAAACUAGCACAUUCCUUGACUACCUUUGUCGCUACAGAUUUCAGUUCACCAUUUUCUAUGCAAUCACCUGUCAUCUUCUUGAAAAGACUCCAAGCUUCUUUUUCAUUCAGAACAUCAACAAAAAAAUUUUGUUGACAAUCCAUUUUACAAGACAACACAUCUUGACUUCUUGCUGUCAGCAGAACUUUACAUCCGCCGUUAUCAUCUGCCAAUGGAAUUCCAAUCGCCUCCAAAUCGAGACUCCCCCAAAUAUCUGUUGGGGAAAAAUCAGGUUUUUAAAUUUUUUAUAAAACCAUUUGAAGAUCGCUCUCAUAUAAUAUAUAAGAAUUUGUAUUCUAGAAAUCGUACCUUGAAAAUCCGAGUUGGCUUUUUCCGCUGAAGUGAUUUAGGCUCCUAGAUCACGAUCCGCCACCACCACUCCUGUUAGAUCACGAUCCGUCUCCACCACGCUUGUUAGAUCACGAACUGUCACCAAUGAUCUUCCAGGUUAUGACUCAGGUUCGAUCUGCACUUGACGUGUGGGCGCCUUUAUCACUACAAAAGCAACUAGCACGAGAAAAUUUUUCUCUCAACAAUAGAGAGAAAAAUCUUAUUCUCCGAUUUGUAUAAAGUGGCCUCUCUCUUUUCCUUUAGAGAAAAUAAACCUUAUAUAUCUUCCUUUAGUGAAAACCCUAGGCUCCAAAUAAUUCAAAAAACAAAACCCACGUUAUUUGCUUUUUCAAUAAGGGACCCACCUUGUAAAAUAACAUAAGGCCCCUUAUACAAAAGCUAAUUAAAUGGAGCCUCCCACUAAAUGAUAUAUUUAGGCUUUUGACCCAAAUUGCUAGUUAUCUUACUUAUUAGUCCAGUAGUGGUGCAGUUAAUUAAAUGAGCUAACCCGGGGAUCAUUUGGGAACAUACAAUAGUGGCUACAAUAAUUAGGCCUGUAAUUAAACUAGCCCAAUUAUUUAAUUCCAAAUCUACUCCACUAAAAGAUUGGAACUGACUUCCAUAAUUGUAUGCUCGAAUAAUAAUUCGUCCCAAGCCACAUUGAUUUCUUUACUGCACAAUCCUUUGUACCACAUCGUUAAUUAAAUUGAUAUCUCAACUGUCCAAUCAAUUUAAUAACAUCUUAUUCCUUGAUCCUUACUGGUUUCCUCUAAUGAUCAUUUUCAACAUACUAAAUAUGUUGACACACUCUGGCCAGAGAAUUCUAUGAUCAAGUACCGAAAACCUAUCAAGAGAUGUGUUGUACAAAUUCUAUAUUGUUAAUCCAUAACUCCAAUACUCAUAAUUGCUCCCACCAAGAUACCGGGUAAUCUUGACCACAAGGAUGUGUCGUGCCCAUUGGUAACUCAAAUGAAAUAACAAUCACAAUCAUGAAAUCAUAAUUAACUCAAGAUUAAGAUUACAGUAAAAUCAACGCCUAUGAGAUUUAAUAAGUCUGACAGUUAUUACAAAGUUAAUUAAAUCUCAUAUGUGAUCCUGUUCAAUGUAGUCGUACUACAUCAAUAAAUUCAUACAUGAUUAAGACAAAUCAUUCAAUGAAUUUAUUACAGUCUAUACCUAAAUAAAGUGCCCAACUUUAUUUAUCAACUGCGAACUAAAUUUAUUUAAUCAUAAGAUAACUUGUAUUUAUGUCUUCUGUGAAUCCACAUGGUGAUCACAUAAAUACAUAUAAUAUGAUUAAAUGGACUUUAAUACAAAUAUUAAUGCAAUUAAGAUAUUUGAAUAAAAUACCUCAUUUAUUUUAUUAAUCAGAAAAAUUGUUUAUUACAAUUAAAUAAACACAUAUGCUUUUAAAGAGCAUAUUUUCCCAACAAUAUCAUAUAAGAUUAUAAGGAUCUUCUUCUCUACUUUCAAUCUUUCAUAUAGCCUCCCUGCUCUAACAGUUUCAAUCUCUUCAACUAAUCGCAAACCUAUCUUCUCUGCAAUUUAUUCUUGUAUCUUCUUUAUUUGUGGUGUUUGGGAUACCUAUUCCCUUAUAAGAUAAUACUUCCUUUCAAUAUGUUUUGUUUCUUGUGGUUCCUUGGUUCCUUAGAUUGAGCUACCGCACCACCCAUCCCGUAUACCCCAAUCAUGUUGAAGUUAUGAUUGCUUAAUGAGCCUAGUAUUUCCUUCAAAGUGGAUUUUCUUGAUUCAAAGUGAAUGAAACCUUCGGUGGACUUAAGCCAUAUCUCCUCUGGAAUUGUACGGAAAGAAACGCUGUCAAAUUUCCUUUUUUCAUGGAGUCCAACAAUAGCAUUCACCUCCAUUUCUGCUUUCUUGCUAAGCUGGUAGUGGGUCUUCAAAUUGGGACACAACCCAUUAAAACACCGGUUGUUUGAUUUUUCUUCAACUUCUAUAAGCUUCCUAACUUCACUGAUGACCUCGUCCACACUAAUCAGCCACUCCUCAAUGUGCUGUUGAAUUCCGUCCCCUUUGAUUUUGGAAUCAUCUAUGUUAAGUAAAUAAGAGCACCAGCUCAACCAUGUCAUCAUCCCCACCUCGGGGUGGAUCACCUCAGCCGAAUGGUACGAGCAGAACACUGAUAAUAAGCCUUAUACAAACAUGGGCCGACCAGAGACGAGUACAGCCAGAGGAAUACACCGACCAGAGACGAGUACCAGCCGGAGGAAUACACCGACUAGAGACAUAUACCGAGUAGAUACGCAUUCCCCAAAGAGUGGGAACACGAUCCCACAAAAUCUCGACAGUUGCGCUUUUUCCAGAACCGUUGAGGGAGACACGGUGUCCCACGUUUGCCCACAAUGUAGCAGUUGGAGUCCCAUGAAGGGCUGCCACUACUUGAGAAAGAGGGGAUGAAGGGUGAACAGAAAUGUGGGACAACGGCUAUAAAAGAGGAAGAAACCAAUGAAGAAAGGGGAUGAAAAAACUGAGAGAGAAGGGAAAACUCUGCCAAGUUAAAACCAGACGGUUUUUCUACCUAAAUUGAGAGUAAAUCGUAAGCCAUUCCAAAAUCUAAAUUAAACCGUUUUCCCGUAAACACCUUGUGCUAACUUAGGCAUCGGAAGGUUUACGCCGGUAAAACCAUCGGCGUCUUUGAUCCAUUUUUUGUGAACGCAGGCUUAGCAAGAUAAAAAGGGGUGAUUCCAACCCAGUGACGUAAGCGAUCGUUAAGGCAAGGAGAAAAUAACAUCGUUCCCAUUAAACAUCUAAGCGUUGGUGGAAGAAUCUGGUGGGGUAAAGGGCGAGCAAAUUUCAGCAUCAACAUUGGGCGAGCAGAUUUCAGCAUCAACAAUCUACUUUAUACUGUACACUGUCUCUAGCAUUCUUUAGUUUAUCAACAUCAUUCUUCAGCUUCUCAAAGUUGGUCUUGUACGUGCAGUAGUAGGUAAAUGGAUGAAUAAUGGGAGCAACCAAGUACUCUGCAACUUUUGUAACAACGAAGGUAACAAUUUCCAUUAUCCUUUUUAUUUUAUUUUAUUUUUAUUUUGCUUUGAGAAAACAGGGGAAAACAAAACCAAUCACAACAAGAAAUAAGAGACAAGGAGGGCAAGGAGUGAAAAAGCUAGAAAUAAAAAAAGGAGUACAGUGAAAGAUCUGUAAAGAAGGUUUAGAAAAAGGAUGAUUAAGAAAAGGGAACCAUAAAAUGUAUAAGGGAUUUUUAGAGAAUCUGAGAAAAGUUGGAUGAUUAAGAAAAUGCUGGAGCAGGACAUUUAUGACUUCUGUUAGUAAUUUGAUUUCGUUAAGCAUUUUCAAAAAGAAGAUAAUACAAACAAUUGGAGAUUUGGUGAUGAUAAUGAAAGAUUAAGUAAGCUACUCCAUAAUUUAUAUGCAUUAACUGGAAUCGACAGCUCUAGCUCGUGUUAAAAUCAACCAAAAAGACAGAUCAUGGAAAGCAGCAAUCCAAUAACUUAAAAAGAGUUAAAAACAUUUGCUAUAGGAAGUGGUUGCGUUGACGUGUAUUUCAAGGAUCAUGAAAUAUAAACAAAGACCACGUUAAAAGAUAAGCAAAAGUUGGCAAGAUUGGUAAUGAUAUAUUAAAAGAAAGACUAAUAAAGCUUUCCUAGCAGCAUUAAUCAUGAUCAUUUGAUAAACUAGAGGUAAUAAAUGAUUAUAUUUUUAGUGGAAAACAGAGUACGUUACAUGAGCUGAUUGCUUUUGUCAAUAUUCAGCCAAAAAUACAAGUUAAUCAAAAUAACCUACCAUCAAGUCAACCUUGGGGCAAAAAAACUAGUAACAUUAAAUGAACAUAGAGGGAUGAGUUGGGCCAAGUCUUUAAAUCAGCUAUGUCAUGGAAAAUUACAAGAAGAUUAAAAAAAAAAGAAUCAAUCAACUAGUAUAUAGUAUAAUGUUUUCACAUUUAAUUAACUAGGAGACUAAUACACUAUCACUCAGCAUUAAUGAAAAUUAUUUGAUAAACUAGUAUAUAUUGGAUAUCUCGGUGCAAAACAGAGUGCUAAGAGAUAAAAAUUAACCUAGUGUCUUUGCCAGGUGUUUAUAAUCGCUAAGCUUGCCUCAUACCAUUGCCAACUUUGGCCAUCUGGUAGUUGCUUAUUGAAGAAAACAAAGGAAUGCUGAUUCGAUCAUGCAAAGUUUAAUGUUAAUUAAAGUUAAAAGCGAUCAGAUUCAUAUUCAUUAAUAUGCUUUUAUACGAAUCGUUGCGUCUGGAUAUAAUAAUGGUUUCAGAAAUGCCUACCUGUUAAUUCCCCAUUUGUUGUCUCUGAAGAAAAUUUGACUUGAAGCAAUAUUAUAAGAGGUUUAAUUGUGGGUCAAUUUCUUGUGAGCAUUUCAACAAACGGGUGGUACGCAAGCACAGCUCCUAUGCUAUCGCUGCUACUAUAUGCGUCAAGUAGCUGCUUCCAGUUGUAAAACGACGCCGACAUGUCAUACUCAGAGAGAUCCUUCCGAGGUUAUUCUUGGAAGCAUUUGACAAUGCCACGUGUACUCCAUUAUUUGACUAGUCACACUCACAAGUGAAUUAGCCCACCACACCACCGAACUCUGACUUGGUCAGAAUAAGUGGUGCACGUGAUGCAAACACGUGAGGACCCAAAUGAUAAUUUCCAAAAGCUGAAUGAUACAUGUAUUAUAUGUGUGCAUUAACUAAAUAUAACUAUUAAUUGUAUGUUAAAUUUUUAAUAUAUAUAUAUAUAUAUAUAUAUAUAUGUGUGUGUGUGUGUGUGUGUGUGUGUGUGUGUGUGUGUCAUACAUAUACUACGUAGAUGUACUACAAUAGAGGUGCUUUAGAAUUUUUCGGCAAACACAGCAUAGCGAUUGAAGUGAAAGAGAAACUUUAAUCUUUGGUGUAGUCAUUGGUAAAAUUUGAGCCGAAAAGAAAAAUUCAUAUUUGUAAACCUAGAAACAAUAAUCAUUUGGAAGUAGUUGCUGAAAUUAAUUAGGUGAUUUUAACCUCAAAUUUGAGACCAUAAAUCAUUGAAUGUUUUGAUUUCAACACUAGUGGCAAUCACGUACACAUUUAACGACUUAGUUAAAUUUAUAGCAACUAAUAAGUAUCCAACUUUGCAACCGUAUUUAUUUCUCGUGAUUUGAUUAAACUGAGCACUCCGAAAACUUCAGUUCCUUCCAUUGUUGUAAGCUGAAUGAUACAUGUACGAUUUGAUUAAACCGUAUUUAUUUAUAUAUUGAAUGCUACUUCAAUGAAUUCUACUGCCGCAAUAAUACUAAAUGAUUUUUCAUGACAAAAAAAUCAAUAAUUAGAAUGAUUAUAAGUUAAUUUAAUGCUGAAUUUCAUCAUUAACUGCUGAAAUACUCCAGAAAUCCAAAUACAUUUAACUAAACAAAAAUUUAAUCAAAUCAUUAAACACACAAUCUGAAAGCGGAUUCAAAAUAACUUUCAUAAAAAAGCCAAAAGCAGAACAAUCAACAAAGAAACAGAAGAACCUCUCACCAAUGCCAUCUGACCCUUCAUAGAAAGAAAGAAGUCAAGCUCCAUGUAAUAUAACGCCUCACAAAUUACACAGAAAAAUGGCCGCAUUCCAUAUGAUGCAUAGAACGUGGCCCGAAUCCUCUUCGUAAGUUUGGAAUUUUUGGAGAAAAAUACACAAUGAAGGUGAAAUCAAGAAAAAAAGGAUAGUGAUAUUUCGUGCAAUUUUCAUGUAAUUUGCAGGAAUUAGCUUCUAUUUGGUAAGCAGUUCUGGAUGCCUAACUAUUAUUACUAUUACUAUUAUUUAUAUGGAUGGGGUUGGGUGAGACAGGUUUAUCAUAAUUAACCCAACCCAGCCCAAUUAUUAAUUGGAUUCUAAAAAAUUACCUAAUUAACCCCAUAAUAAUUCACUUAAUCCAUCAAAAUUUGAUUGGAUUAGAUUGGGUUAGACUGGAUUCGUCAGGUUGGAUUGAAUUCACCGGGAUUGGAUUGAGUUUGCCUACCCCUAGCUCUUGACCCACAUUAUUUAUUUUUAUUAUUUGGUAACUUCAUUCAAUAAAUAAAUUUAAAUUUUAUCAAUUUGUAUAAAAUAAGUUUAUACAAGAGCUUUUAACUGUAUCAUCACUCAUCAAACAAUAUUAGAUGAAACAAUAAAUGAAAUAUACAAAGGUAUCAUUAAAUCCAAAAGCAUCCAAUGUGUCAAAAAAUAUCCUAUCAUUUGAAAUAAAAAUAUUAAAAUAUUAUUUUCGAAAUCAAUAAUGAUAUAACCACAAACAUUAAGAACUUGUGUAAACAAACUAACAUGGCAUAAAGACAUUAGCUAAAAAUCGAUAACUAUUAUUUUUGUAAAUCAUGUGGGUCUAUAACAGUUUUAUACAACCAAUCUUCUCAUGCAAAAUCUGUAUGAAUUUUUUUUUUACAAGGUGGUUGUGGCUCUAUAUAUCCAAGUCGUUGUUCAACUUCAAGGGAUCUGUUAACUCACGUGUAUAUAUAUAUAUGUGUAUAUAUUAUUGGUUGUUAUAUGUUUCCUAGUUUGAUAGGAUUUCCUUUCCUUGUGAACUAGGGUAAUUCUUAUGUACAUAUAAAUAUUGAUCAAUAAGAGGGCAGACCAUGGAAGCCACAACAGUUUUUGCAUCGUAAAAUUCUUCAUGGUAUCAGAGCAUGAUGGAAGACCAAACUCAAACAAAAACAAAAGAUAAAGAGGCUAGCGGAAGUGGAUUGGGCAAGACAAUGAUGUCUCCUUACUUCCUCUCAACCAGUGAUAAUCCUGGAACUAUCAUUACUCAAGUGCAACUUCGAGGAACCAACUAUGACGAGUGGGCAAGGGCUAUGCGAACUGCAUUGCGUGCCAAGAAGAAAUUCGGGUUUGUUGAUGGAACCGUGAAACAGCCUGCUGAUGACUCGGCUGAUUUGGAGGAUUGGUGGAUGAUGAAUUCAAUGUUGGUCUCCUGGAUACAAAAUACAAUCGAAUCGAACCUGCGAUCUACUGUGACUUAUACAGAAGUUGCUAAGUUGCUGUGGGAUGAUAUCAAGGAAAGGUUCUUUGUUGGGAAUAGACCACGUGUGCAGCAACUCAAAUCUGAGUUGGCGAAUUGCAAGCAGCGAGGUAUGACUAUUUUGAAUUAUUAUGGGAAACUCAAGAUGUUGUGGGAAGAAUUGAGUAACUACGAUCAAUCGCCUGCUUAUCUAUGCGGUAAUUGUACGUGUAAUCUAGGUGUGGAAUGGGAUAAGAAACGAGAUGAAGAAAAGUUGCAUCAAUUCUUGAUGGGUCUUGAUGAAGCCGUGUACGGUGACGUGGGGUCUCAUAUUCUAAGCACCGAGCCACUGCUAAAGUUGAACCGUGCCUAUGCCAUAGUCAUUCAGGAGGAGCAGGUUCAGUCAAUGACACGUGCUAAAGAAGAACGGAGUGAACCUAUAGCAUUUGUUAUUCAAGCCGUGCAAGGAUCACAUGACAACCGUGAUAAGUCUUCUAUACUUUGUACCCAUUGCAACAAGACUGGACAUGAAGCAUCUUCCUGUUUCCAGCUUAUUAGGUAUCCCGAAUGGUGGGGUGAACGAUCGAAAGCCACGAGGAAUGCAGGUCGUGGUCGCGACAAUUCAUGACAGAAUGGUGGAAACAAUGGGCGUGGUCGUGGAGGUCCUGCUCGGGCCAACGCUGCUCAAGUCGCGACAGGGUCUAACAAUCCGUCUGGAGAACUCCCGAAAUCAGCCGCAAGCGGUCUCAGCGGUUUGAGCAGUGAUGAAAUAUAUGUGUGCAACCCAAGAGGGGGGGUGAAUUGGAAUUUUAAAAAUUAUCCUAGCAAAUCCACACAACAAGCAAUCUAAUGUCUUAAUAAAAAUUGAAAGCAAUAAGUUCAAUAAAAGCACAAUAAUUAAAAGAGUAAGGGAAGAGAAAAACGAACACAAGGAUUUUUACGUGGUUCGGCUAUCCCCGCCUACGUCCACGCCUCCAAGCUCACCCGGCUUGAGGAUUUCACUAUCCAAGCCUCCCAAGGCUUCAAAUGUUUACAAUUGACUUCCAAGGUGUCAAUGAACCUUUACAACAAGAGAUUAUAUCCCCAAUCUCUUCACCCCAAGUGUUUCCCACACUUGUACACUCACAAUUUGAUGAGAAAUGAUAAAUACAACAAUGAAUCUCUCUUUAAGAGUGGAUAUACAAAUUGAAGAACAAAGAUGAUUUAAUGAAUGAUGAUUCACGAAGUUGAAGCUCAAUAUAUGUUGUGUGCACUUGUUCUUGCUUCUUGGAUUUAUUCCCAAAAAUGAAUUGGUUUUGAGUUUAUAUAGUUUGAACUCAAAAACUAGCCGUUACUCACAUUCUAGGCGUAUCCGAUUUGCCGGUUAUGGAAUCCGGUAAGCCGAAUUUAUGUUACCGUUAAGGCAAAAUUCAAAAUUCUGCCUAUCCGGCUUGCCGGUUUCGGAAUCCGGUAAGCCGUUUGCGUUCUGGAUGCAUUCUGCCCCGAAUUCGGUUUUUCGGUUUUUGAUAUCCGGUAAGCCGCUUGCUACAGUAACCUGCUACAGUGAAAAUUUUCCCAUAUUUUCAGUUUGACCCCAAAACUUUAUAAAACUGUAGUAUGACCCAAAAAGUUAUGAAACUUUACAAAUAUGUCCAAUUUCAGAAUUUCUAAGUAAUGCUUCGUUAAUCCCAAAACUUUCUGAAAUUAUGAUAUAGCCAAAAAUGCUAUGACACUUUACACAUAAGUCCUUUACCAAAAUUUCAAGCAAUACUUGUUUAUUUCAAAGUUUUCAAAAUUCUUUCAAUUAAACCAUAAACUUUGAAAAACAACCAAUUUCAUAAAAUCAUUUUUCCAUUAAAUAUGAAACAUUUAUAAUGUGAAAAUAAUGAUUUAUUUAAAAAGAAUAAAAACAAUCAAUUUCAUAAAAUCAUUUUUCCAUUAAAUAUAAAACCUUUAUAAUGUAAAAAUAAUGAUUUAUUUAAAAAGAAUAUUAAAUAAUUUGGGCUUAAAAGAUUAAUCAUUCUUAAUCUUGUUUGUUAUCAUCAAAAUCAAUAUUACGAAAACAUAUAUGUUAACAAGUGAGCAGUGAGCAGUGAGCAGUGGAACACAUUGCUUAAUCUUUUGAACAGUAAAAAAGACAGCAACUUACGGAUCAGUGGUAAGCGUAAUUCAAUGGAGUUGAUUCUUGAUACUGGGGCCUCACAUCACAUGACUGGAAACAGAAAAAUCUUACACGACAUUGUAUCUGUUAUUCCCUGUUCUAUUCGGCUGCCUGAUGGAAAUGCGACAAUAGCAAAUACAGAAGGAACAGUUGUGCUUGCUAGCCACCUGCGACUAAAUAAUGUUUUAUUUAUGCCAAGUUUAACUUGCAAUUAAAUUUCUAUAUUGCAACUGAUUCAAGACGUCAAUUGUUUUAUUUAAUUUUCUGAUCAAUUAUGUGUGAUACAUGACCGCAUUACGAGGAUGCUGAUUGGAGCGGGUGAGCAGCGAGAGGGACUCUAUUAUUUUCGGGACAUUGGUUCGGCCGCCGCUCUAUCUAGUGUUGCCAACCGAGCUUGUGAUUUAUGGCAUCGAAGGCUGGGGCAUCCUUCCUCUAAAGUUUUUAAGUGCUCCCUUUUAUUGAUUCGGCCUCUUGUCUGUCUAGUUUUCAGAAUUGUGAUGUAUGCUUUCGAGCAAAAUAGUGUCGUGACAAAUUUGUUUUAAGCAAUAAUAAAGCUUCAGAUAUUUUUGAAUUGAUUCAUUAUGACUUGUGGGGACCUUAUCGCACAGCUAGUUCUUGUGGUGCUCAUUAUUUCUUGACUAUUGUUGAUGAUUUUUCUCGCGGUAAUUGGACAUAUCUGCUAGUCGCAAAGAAUGAGGUUGGGCGUGUAUUACGCAAUUUUUCAAGUAUGGUCUCUAGACAAUUCCAUAAACUCGUUAAAAUUGUAGGAGAAAAAUACAGGUUUUUAAAUUUUUUAUAAAACCUUUUAAGAUCGCUCUCAUAUAAUAUAUAAGAAUUUGUAAUCUAGAAAUCGUACCUUGAAAAUCCGAUUAAGCUCUUUUCGCUGAAGUGAUUUAGGUUCCCAUAUCACUAUCCGUCACCACCACGCCUGUUAGAUCACGAUCCGUCACCAUCACGCUUGUCAGAUCACGAACUGUCACCAAUGAUCUUCUAGGUUAUGACUCAGGUUUGAUCUGCACUUGACGUGUGGGCGCCUUUAUCACUACCAAAGCAACUAGCACGAGGAAACUUUUCUCUCAACAAUAGAGAGAAAAAUCUUUUUCUCUGAUCUGUAUAAAGUGGCUGCUCUAUCUUUUCUUUAGAGAAAAUAAGCCUUUUAUAUCUCCCUUUAGUGAAAACGCUAGGCUCCAAAUCAUCAAAAUCAAAACUCACGUUACUUGCUUUUUCUAUAGGGGGCCCACCUUGUAAAAUAACAUAAGGCCCCUUACACACAAGUUAAUUAAAUGGAGCCUCCCACUAAAUGAUAUAUUUAGGCUUUUGACCCAAAUAGCUAGUUAUCUUGCUUAUUAAUCCAGUAGUGGUGCAGUCAAUUAAAUGAGCUAACCCGGGAAUCAUUUGGGAACAUACAAUAGUGGCUAUAACAAUUAGGCAUGUAAUUAAAAUAGCCUAAUUAUUUAAUUCCAAAUCUACUCCACUAAAGAUUGGAAUUGACCUCCAUAAUUGUAUGCUCGAAUAAUAAUUCGUCCCAAGCCACAUUGAUUUCUUUACUGCACAAUCCUUUGUACCACAUCAUUAAUUAAAUCGAUAUCUCAACUGUCCAAUCAAUUUAAUUACAUCUUGUUCCUUGAUACUUACUGGUUUUCUCUAAUGAUCAUUUUCAACAUACUAAAUAUGUUGACACACUCUGGCCAGAGAAUUCUAUGAUCAAGUGUCGAAAACCCAUCAAGAGAUGUGUUGUACAAAUUCUAUAUUGUUAAUCUAUAACUCCAAUACUCAUAAUUGCUCCCACCAAGAUACCAGGUAAUCUUGACCACAAGGAUGUGUUGUGCCCAUUGGUAACUCAAAUGGAAUAACAAUUACAAUCUUGAAAUCAUAAUUAACUUAAGAUUAAGAUUACAGUAAAAUCAAUGCCUAUGAAAUUUAAUAAGUUUGACAGUUAUUACAAAGUUAAUUAAAUCUCAUAUGUGAUCCUGUUCAAUGUAGUCGUACUACAUCAAUAAAUUCAUACAUGAUUAAGACAAAUCAUUCAAUGAAUUUAUUAUAGUCUAUACCUAAAUAAAGUGCCCAACUUUAUUUAUCAACUGCAAUCUAAAUUUAUUUAAUCAUAAGAUAACUUGUAUUUAUGUCUUCUGUGAAUCCACAUGGUGAUCACAUAAAUACAUAUAAUAUGAUUAAAUGGACUUUAAUAAAAAUAUUAUUGCAAUUAAGAUAUUUGAAUAAAAUACCUCAUUUAUUUUAUUAAUCAGAAAAAUUGUUUAUUACAUUUAAAUAAACACAUAUGCUUUUAAAGAGCAUAUUUUCCCAACAAUCUCCCACUAGCUCUCAAAGCAUAUCUGGCAUAUUGCACAUGCUCUAGGGCUCUAAGUGCAGGUUAUAAAGAUUUCCCACUAAUGGCCAUUGUAAUAAGAUAUGUCAUUUAGCAUCUAAUACCAUUUGGGGUACUGUCAUAUAACCUUUCUACACUAUUGCAUUAUAAGAUGAUACUUCCUCUCAAUAUGUUUUGUUUCUUGUGGUUCUUUGGUUCCUUAGAUUGAGCUACUGCACCACCAUAAUCACAAAAUAGUUUAAGGCGUGUAGUUACAACAGGUAUCACCUUAAGAUUUUGUAGGAACUUGCGGAGCAAUAUAGCUUCUUUUGCAGCUUCAGAUGUAGCCACAUAUUCAGCUUCAGUUGUGGAGUCUGUGAUACAAGAUUGUUUCACACUCAUCCAACUAAUAGCUCAACUUCCUAAUGUAAACACAUAGCCGGAAGUUGAUUUUCUAAAAUCCUUAUCUGACAAAAAAUCAGAAUUAGUAUAACCCACUGGAAUAAGUUCAUCACCAGAAUACACAAGCAUAUAACUUUUAGUUCUUUUCAGAUACUUCAUUAUAUGCUUGACCGCAGUCUAGUGUUCAGGUCUAGGAUUAGAUUGAUAUCUACUAACCAUCCCUACUGCAAAACAGAUGUCUGGCCUAGUGCAAAGCAUGGCAUACUUGAGACUUCCCACAUCUUCUACAUAGGGAACUCGUCUUAUUUUCUCUAUCUCUUCAGAUGUUUUAGGUGAUUGGUCCUUAGAGAAUGUAAUUCCAUGUCUGAAUGGUAAUAAACCAGUCUUGAAAUUUUCCAUGCUAAAUCUAGCCAAUAUCUUAUCGAUAUAGACCGCUUGAGACAAGGAUAAAGUUUUAUUCUUCCGGUCUCGUAGUAACUUGAUACCAAGAAUAUAACUUGCCUCUCUCAAGUCUUUCUUAUCAAAUUAUUUUGCUAGCCAACUCUUUAUUGUAGUCAAUACUCCUAUAUCGUUUCCAAUUAGGAGAAUAUCGUCUACAUAAAGAAUUAGGAAGACUAUAAAUUUUCCCUGAAUCUUCUUGUACACACAUGGUUCAUCAAUGUUUUGAAUGAAUCCAAGCGAUUUAAUCUCUUGAUCAAAUCUGAUGUUCCAUGACCGGGAUGCUUGCUUUAAUCCAUAAAUGGAUUUCUGCAACUUACAUACCAUGUGUUCUUGGCCUUUUGUACGAAUCCAUCUAGUUGCUGCAUGUAGAUGUCUUCUUCAAGAAUCCCGUUUAAGAAAGGCUAUCUUGACAUCUAUUUGCCAAAUUUCAUAAUCUAGCACUGCAGUAAUAGAGAGCAGAAUCCUAAUGGAUUUAAGCAUAGUAACCGCAGAAAAUGUUCCUCAUAAUCGAUUCCCUCUUUCUGAGUAAACCCUUUGGCUACUAAUCUUACUUUAAAUGUUUCCAUCCUUUCGUCUACUCCUCUUUCUCUCUUGUAGAUUCACUUGCACCUUAUAGGUUUUACCCCAUUUGGUGCCUCUACAAGUUCCCAGACUUUAUUGGAAUACAUAGAUUCCAUUUCUUGAUUCAUGACCUUUUUACAAAAUUCAACAUCUCCGUCUAUUAGAGCUUCGUUGUAACUAGUGGGAUCUUAUACAUGUUCAACUAAGAUCGUCGUAUAGGUUUCUCUCAAUAACAUGUAUCUUGCAGGUAACCUAGUUACCCUCCCACUACGACGAGGUUCUAAAAGUGAUGGUUGUUCAAGGAUAAUCCUGUGCUGCUCAGCUGGUUGUUGUUGUUCUUCCUGUUCUAUAACAGGUGUUGAAAGCUGGGCAUCAACCUGAUCUCUUUUAUUUCUCUAGUUUUACCUUACUCUUAGGUUAUAAGUCAUUAUAUAGUCUUCCUCAAAGAAAGUAAAGAAUAUGUCUAUAAAUACAUUCCUAUCUUGAGAACUAUAAUUCAGACUUUCCCUUAUUCCUUUAAGAUACCUAAAACAUGCAAGCUUCUGAACACGAAUCCAUCUUCUCUACCUCUGAUUCUAGUAGAAAUACUAGUAAACUCCAAAUAUGAAUGUGUCUCAAACCAUGUUUGUGACUUUUUCAUAAUUUCUUGGAGUAGUAGACACCGAGAUAGAUGAAACUAAGUUCAAUAAACUUUGCAGUUUUAAAUACUAGUAUCUGGAAUCAAAAAGGUAAAUGAUAAACCACUUAGUAUAUAUCUUGUCUUAUCCAAAAGAAUCUUGUUUCUCCAUUUAAUUACACUAUUGUAUCAUAGUGUUCAUUAUAUGAGGUAGUUUAUCCCAUUUGACAACCAAAUUGAGCUUGAAUUCUCCAUAGAGAUAUUCUUUGUUUCGAUCAUAUCGAAGUUCUUUUAUGUUCCUGUCUAAUUGCUUCUGUCUUAUCCACGUACUCUUUUGAAUUUCAAAAGCAAUGGAAUCAUAAUGCAUUUAGACAAACAUAGAUCAAAUGAAUAUUCAUCAACAAGAUUGAUAGAAUACUCAUAACCUCUUAUGAACUGUAAACUGAUUAGUCCGUAUACAUUUGUAUGCGCUAAAUCAUCCAAUACAAUGUUAUGCUUUUAGCUCUAAACGAACAUCCUCGUCAUAUUACUUUUCGAAAUAAGAUUUAUAGAGUUACAAUGAUCAAUCUUAAUAGGCCAACAAGUCUAUCAUUAAUCAUUUUCUUAAAAUCUUAUUACAGUUUAUAUGACUUAAGCAUAAAUAUCAUAGGUGAUUUUGGUUUGAAGAAACAUUUCUUUUCUUAGAUAAAUACAUAUACUCUUUAUCAUUAUAUUUUGCUUUGAAUAGAUCAAUGGACUUAUAUGAUAUAAAUUGUCUUUAUAAAUAACCAAAAUAAGUAAUAAACAGAGGAUAAAAAAAUAACAGUGUAAUCCUGUUUAUUAAAAGAAGUCACUGAAAUUAAAUUCCUCUAAUAUUUGGAAAAAUAAAGACAAAUAUCAAAACUUUAAGUCUUGUAAAAUUGAUCUAGCCUUUUAAUUGAUAUAAACUAGCAUGUCCUCAACUGCUGUUUGAAGCUUUUUUCACUUAAUCUCUUGGUUUCCUGAAAACCAAAUAAAUGAAUUACAAAUAAGAUUAGUUAGCUCAUAAUUCAUUAUUGUAUGAAUCAAUAGAAAUCUGAACUAAUUAGGAAGCUUAAAGAUUUCCUAUACCUGAUUUUAAUAAUCUUAGGACAAUCUUUCUUCCAGUGACCCUUCUGUCCACAUUUGUAACACUUGCCUUUUGGCUUGCCACUUCUUUUAGUGGACAAUUUACCGAUCCCAACUCUUGCUUGCUCAUUCUUGUCUUUCGACUUAAGCCUUGAAGAGAAUCCUUUUUCAGGAAGUUUUCUGCUAUGAUAAAAUUCUUCUAUAGCAUGUAGUUCGUGCAUUAAUUCAAUUAAGGUCAUAUCUUUAAUGUUUAAGAUAUAGUUGACCUUAAACUCUUUGAAUGUAUCAGGUAAAGAUUCAAUCACCAUGUUAUCUUUGAUUUAUCAUUGAUUUGAACACCAUGAAUCUCUACCUCAUUUAAAUAGUCCAUCAUUUUGAGGACAUGAUCACGAACUUUUGUGCCCUCAUCCAUUUUAGUAUCCGUAAUACGUUUUAAUGCUGCUUCUCUAGAAAAAUGAGUAUUUUGCCCAAACAUCUGAUGAAGACUAGCCAUUAUUUCAGUGGCUGUGUUCAUGCUCCGAUGUUUCUUAUGCAGUUCCACAGAAAUCGAAGCCAAUAUAUAGCGCUUAGCCAUUUUGUUAGCUUCGCACCAUUUCUCAUAAGGCUCCCUCUGAUUUCUAUAAUCGUAUAACGAUAGUUUAGGAGGGCAAGGCUGGGUCAACACAUAUUUGCAGCCCUUAGCAGUGAGAAUAUUAAAUAGAUUGCGUUUCCAAUUUAAAUAAUUUUUGCCAGUGAGUUCAUUUUUAACAAGGAUAAUUAAUAAUGGGUUGAUGGAAGACAUUUUCUGAAACAACAAAAUAAACAUGCAUAAAUACUUUGAAACAAUAUUCAGAAUAAAUGACAAAAAUGCAAAAAAUCAUAAAUGCAUUUUAAUUUAUUGUACCGCUUUGACAAGCUAUCCAUUGGGGAAGUCAUGUCUACACUUACUAGACCCAAUUAUCCAUUAGAUUAUUUACUUUCAUGUAGAGACAUGAUAAAUAAUUAUUGUUAUCCCUUUGGGUCUAAAUUUGUUAACAGAGCUUCGUUGGGAAGGUUAAUAACAAAUUUUAGUUGAGUGUAUAACCAUUGUUUCAAUUUACGUAUUUUUCAUAUCGAUAGUCACCGUUGGGGCGAACAAUUGAUUGAAAAAUAUUUCAAUUUUAUCUUUGAAGAAGUUCAUCAAAUAAAAUAUCUAAUAGAUAUACCCUCUGUAGGGAGCAUCACCGUAUCAUGAAGUUGAGGUAUAUAUAUAAUUUUAUUAUUGAACUAACAAUAGAGCCUGUGGGAAAACUUAUCUUGAAUUUUCCCUCUCCCACUCAAUAUUUUAAAAUUGAUUUUUCCUUUUAAAACAUACAUAUUGUUAAUUGCAUGCUUCCUAUAAUAUUAUCUAGAUGAUAUCCAAUAUUAUUAAGCAUAGGCAAAUUACAAACAAUAUAAUGAGAUUCCUUAUUAAUGAAUUACAUGUAUCAUUAUGCAUAGAGUGGCACUAACUAUUCUAUAUGACAUGUUAUCAUGGCAUGUUAUCAUCCAAAACAUAACAUAUAAAAAAAACAAUUAAAUAAUCUUAAUUCAUAGUUUUCCUAAUAAUGAAAAAUACAUUAACCCUAAGCCUAAUCUUCAUUGGGCUUCUUGUCAAUGUUCAUCUUCCAUAAGCUUGUCUAUGCAUUUUAAAUAAUCUUAAUUUUUCUUGUCAAUGUUUUAAAUUUAUAAUUGGUCCAAUUUUAAUUUUGAAAGGAAAUAAAAAAAAAUUAAAAUAAAACUUUUGGACCAAAAAUAAAUUUAAUGUAUUCAAUUUUAUCUAUGCAUUUUAAUCCAUUAAGCCCAAAUUUCAAUUGGGCCUAAAACUAGGAUUCAUUAAGCCCAAAAUUAUUUUUGGACUGAAAUGCAAAACAUUGAACCUUAUCUGCCCAGAGGAAAAAUUAUAGAACCAUAGGGACCUCCAUGAUAAAAACCAUGAAACCUUAAAAUCAUAUUUUUCUCUUCUUCCCCAGCCGUCAUCUCCACAAAGCCCAUCCGCUGGUCACAAUUUCCAGCCAUCUCCGAUGCCGAGUUUGCUGCCGCCGUCACACCGGAAACGUACCAAACACCUCCCUCGUGCUGCACUGGAAAGCUCCUGCUCUCGCUGCCUGCUGCGCGCGCUGGCUGUUGCACGCGAGCGUGCGCUAGCUGCUGCACGCACAGUGUGCGUUGCUGGCUGCGCAAGCAUCGUGCGCACGCUGGCUGCUACCUGCGCUGGUGCAACGCUGCUCGCAGCAUGCUGCUGCAGCGCGCGCUACUGGCCACGCUGGCCGCGCGCGCUGCUGCAGCGGGUGCUGCUGCAUUCGCUUGCAGCGGGUGCGUUCAUCGGUGUUACCGUUGAAAUUUCCAGCGCUUGUUCCUUUGUCGUAGCGUGAUUAAUCUCCAGUGAUUUAUAAAUUUUCUACGCCAAUUUUGGCUUACAAAAAAUUUUAUUACAGUAAAGUAAAUUAAGAGGGAAACAUGGUGAUAAAAAACAGCCCCUCUUGUUAUAGAUGCAAACAAAAAAUACAACAGAAAAUCUAACCAUGAAUUAAGACAAACCAUAACAUGCUUUAUUCAUAUAUUAAACAAAUAAUAUAUAUCUGAAUAAAUUGUGCCACUCUAAUACAUAAAUAUCAAGAAUGAUUUCAUACAAUAUUCUUAUAUAUUAAUAUGAGAUAGCUCUGAUACCAAUUGUUGGAGAAAAAUACAGGUUUUUAAAUUUUUUAUAACACCUUUUAAGAUCGCUCUCAUAUAAUAUAUAAGAAUUUGUAAUCUAGAAAUCGUACCUUGAAAAUCCGAUUAAGCUUUUUUCGCUAAAGUGAUUUAGGUUCCUAUAUCACGAUCCGUCACCACCACGCUUGUCAGAUCACGAACUGUCACCAAUGAUCUUCUAGGUUAUGACUCAGGUUUGAUAUGCACUUGACGUGUGGGCGCCUUUAUCACUACCAAAGCAACUAGCACGAGAAAAUUUUUCUCUCAACAAUAGAGAGAAAAAUCUUUUUCUCUGAUCUGUAUAAAGUGGCUGCUCUAUCUUUUCUUUAGAGAAAAUAAGCCUUUUAUAUCUCCCUUUAGUGAAAACCCUAGGCUCCAAAUCAUCAAAAUCAAAACUCACGUUACUUGCUUUUUCUAUAGGGGACCCACCUUGUAAAAUAACAUAAGGCCCCUUACACACAAGCUAAUUAAAUGAAGCCUCCCACUAAAUUAUAUAUUUAGGCUUUUGACCCAAAUAACUAGUUAUCUUUCUUAUUAAUCCAGUAGUGGUGCAGUCAAUUAAAUGAGCUAACCCGGGGAUCAUUUGGGAGCAUACAAUAGUGGCUAUAACAAUUAGGCAUGUAAUUAAAAUAUCCUAAUUAUUUAAUUCCAAAUCUACUUCACUAAAAGAUUGGAAUUGACCUCCAUAAUUGUAUGCUCGAAUAAUAAUUCGUCCCAAGCCACAUUGAUUUCUUUACUGCACAAUCCUUUGUACCACAUCAUUAAUUAAAUCGAUAUCUCAACUGUCAAAUCAAUUUAAUUACAUCUUGUUCCUUGAUAUUUACUGGUUUUCUCUAAUGAUCAUUUUCAACAUACUAAAUAUGUUGACACACUCUGGCCAGAGAAUUCUAUGAUCAAGUGUCGAAAACUCAUCAAGAGAUGUGUUGUCCAAAUUAUAUAUUGUUAAUCCAUAACUCUAAUACUCAUAAUUGCUCCCACCAAGAUACCAGGUAAUCUUGACCACAAGGAUGUGUCGUGCCCAUUGGUAACUCAAAUGGAAUAACAAUUACAAUCAUGAAAUCAUAAUUAACUCAAGAUUAAGAUUACAGUAAAAUCAAUGCCUAUGAGAUUUAAUAAGUCUGACAGUUAUUACAAAGUUAAUUAAAUCUCAUAUGUGAUCCUGUUCAAUGUAGUCGUACUACAUCAAUAAAUUCAUACAUGAUUAAGACAAAUCAUUCAAUGAAUUUAUUACAGUCUAUACCUAAAUAAAGUGCCCAACUUUAUUUAUCAACUGCGAACUAAAUUUAUUUAAUCAUAAGAUAACUUGUAUUUAUGUCUUCUGUGAAUCCACAUGGUGAUCAUAUAAAUACAUAUAAUAUGAUUAAAUGGACUUUAAUAAAAAUAUUAGUGCAAUUAAGAUAUUUGAAUAAAAUACCUCAUUUAUUUUAUUAAUCAAAAAAUUGUUUAUUACAUUUAAAUAAACACAUAUGCUUUUAAAGAGUAUAUUUUCGCAACAAAAAUCAUACGGACAGACAAUGGGACAUAAUUUAUGCAUUUAUCUGAUUUCUUUGCUGAGCAUGGCAUUCAUCAUCAGACAUCUUGUGUGGGUACUUCUCAACAGAAUGGUCGAGUCGAAUGCAAGCAUCGACACAUUCUCAAUGUUGGUCGCGCUCUGCGCUUUCAGGCUUUCUUACCAAUUGAAUUUUGGGGUGAAUGUGUCUUAACUACUUGCUAUUUGAUCAAUCGAACACCUUCUGUUCUUCUUGACGGACAGACUCCUUAUGAACGACUAUUUGGCAAGGCACCAUCUUAUGCAAAUAUUCGGUCAUUUGGUUGCCUCGCCUAUGCCUACAACCGUGAUCAUCGCGGUGAUAAAUUCGCUAGUCGAAGUCGUCGCUAUAUAUUCAUGGGUUAUCCCUUUGGUAAAAAGGGAUGGUAUUUAUAUGAUUUGGAGAGUGCGUCAUUCUUUACUUCCCGGGAUGUAACGUUCGUUGAGCAUGACUUUCCCUACAAGGCUUUAACCGAACUAGCUGCUACCGCCACGCCUGCUCCUAAGCCUGAUGAACCGGUUUUAGCUGAGGAUUUAUUUAUCACAUGAUUUAAGUGCUCCUGUUGUCUCACCAGAUUCGGUUCCUGUUGCUUCACAUGAUACAUGCGAUAUUCUUGAGACCAUUAAUACUCCAUCACCAGUACCCGCUUUUCCUACUCUUGAUGAGCAUGCUUCUGAUGACAGGGGGGCAUUGAGGCUGUUGAGACAUCAUUGCAACAACAACCGGCAUUGGGGCGCCAUCUUAGACAGCGGCAACAAUUGAUUAAGUUAAAAGAUUAUGUCUUGCAUACUGUUAAGCAUUUGAGUCCCUCUUCGCGGCCCUCUUCAUGCUCACACAUUCAAUCAUUUUCUGCAGGUAGUCCUUAUCCUAUACUUGAUUAUGUGAAUUGUAAUAAUUUUUCUGCUCGACAUUGUGCUUUUCUAGCAGCGAUUACUGUAGGAGUUGAGCCUGCCUCUUUUGCUGAAGAUGUGAGAGAUCCUAGAUGGCGUGAGGCCAUGAAAUAUGAAUUGCAGGCACAGGAAAAUAAUAACACAUGGACUGCUGUGUCUCUACCACUUGGAAAGUGUGCUAUAGGCUGUAAGUGGGUGUACCGGAUUAAGUACAAUGCUGACGGUACAGUUGAAAGAUACAAAGCUCGCUUGGUGAUCCUUGGGAACAAGCAAGUUGAAGGAAUUGAUUACACAGAGACAUUUGCUCCUGUCGCAAAACUUGUUACAAUUUGAACUUUUCUGGCUGUUGCUGCGGCUAGGAAUUGGGAGCUUCAUCAGAUGGAUGUUCACAAUGCUUUCUUACACUGUGAGCUUAAUGAAGAAGUUUACAUGUGCUUGCUGCCUGGUUUCACCUCAAACGAAUCUGGAAUGGUUUGUCGUCUAAGAAAGUCAUUAUAUGGAUUAAAGCAAGCUCUCCGUUGCUGAUUUGCAAAGUUGGCAGUGGCUUUGAAGUCUUACGGCUUUGCUCAAUCAAGCUCGGAUUAUUCUCUUUUACCUUGCAUCGGGAUAACAUACAUCUACUUGUGCUUGUGUAUGUUGACGAUAUAAUUAUUUCGGGAAACAACAGCAAAGCUAUUCAGGUAUUCAAAAUGUAUUUGAGUGAUUAUUUUUAUAUGAAAGAUUUGGGUCCAUUGAAAUAUUUUUUGGGUAUUGAAGUUGCAAGAAAUCCGACAGGAAUCUUCCUGUCUUAGCGGAAGUAUGUGUUAGAUAUUAUCUCUGAGGCUGGAUUACUUGGUGCAAAACCAGCCCCAUUUCCCUUGGAACCGAAUCAUCAGCUAGCUUUGGCCGAAGGCCUUUAUUUUUCUGAUCCUGCGAAAUAUCGACGACUCGUAGGCAGAUUAAUUUAUCUUUCCGCUACAAGGCCAGAGUUGUCUUAUUCGGUUCAUCUGCUUUCUCAAUUUAUGUAGCAGCCGCGAGAGCGACAUUGGGAAGCAGCUUUGCGGGUAGUUCGCUAUCUAAAAGGUAACCCUGGUCAAGGUGUGUUUUUAAGAUCAUAUUGUGAUUUGCAACUUUAUGGGUGGUGUGAUUCUGAUUGGGCAAGCUACCCCCUAUCUCGGCGUUCUUUAUCUGGGUGGUUUGUCAUGCUUGGAUCCUCUCAUAUAUCCUGGAAAUCUAAGAAACAACACACCGUUGCGCGAUCCUCUGCUGAGGCCGAGUAUCGUGCCAUGACAACAGUUACAUGUGAGCUCAAGUGGCUCAAAGGGUUGUUGAUGUCUCUCGGAGUUGAUCACUCACGGCCCAUGCACCUGUAUUGUGACAGCCAGGCUGUUCUUCAUCUAGCUACCAACCCUGUGUUUCAUGAACGGACCAAGCACAUCAAAGUUGACUGUCAUUUUGUCUGAGACGAAAUUCAACGAAGAAACAUACGGCCUGCUUAUGUAUCUACUAAUAUUCAGCUAGCUGAUAUCUUCACAAAGGCACUUGGCAGCAAAGAGUUCGAGUUCCUUCUUCCCAAGUUGGGCAUUCGUGAUCUCCAUGUCCAACUUGAGGGGGGGUGUUAACUCACGUGUAUAUAUAUAUAUAGCAAGUUACAUGUAUAUAUUAUUGGUUGUUAUAUGCUUCCUAGUUUGAUAGGAUUUCCUUUCCUUGUGAACUAGGGUAAUUCUUAUGUGCAUAUAAAUAUUAAUCAAUAAGAGAGUAGACCAUGGAAGCCACGACAGUUUUUGCAUCGUAAAAUUCUUCAAGAUCCAAAAUUUGUGAAAGAAGCCACGAAGAGAUUUUACACCAUUCAACAUGCCUAUUCUGCUGUUAACCUUACUAAAUUCCAAAAUUUUUAAUUCUUAUUUAUUUAUUUAUUUAUUAUGCAUGUAAUUUGUAGUAUACAAUAAGAAAUAAAAUUGUAAUCUUUUUAUAAUGACGGAUAAUUAUCGGAUUCACGAGAUGUUGUUUUCCUUCUUCUCUCUUCAAGUUCUAUCUGAUGCCACCAAAAGGUUCUUGUACUAUGUGGGAGUCUAUGAUAGUGAUGAUGAAUAAAAUAAUAUGAGCUCCAAUUUUGUGUGUGUGUGUCUCUCUCUCUCUCUCUCUCUCUCUCUAUUUCUCUCUCUCUAUAUAUAUAUAUAUAUAUUGUUUUCAUUUCAUCUUUAACUUUUUAAUGCGCUUUUGUUGCUUUGAAGAUACAGGAAAAUUAACUCCUACAGGAAGGGGGGUGGGGAACGAGGGAGGAUUUUAUUACAUGAGACUUUUUAGUUUUGUUUUGAGGGAAUGGGAGAUUUCUUGAAUGAAAUGGCUGUGAUGAUGAGCCAAACACAAACUAAUGUAAGCAUUCUUCAAUGCAUAUUUUUGUUUUCUAUAGAAUAAUUUGAGAAUUGUGUUUGGAAAUUCCUAGGCAUUAUUUAGCUUUUUCCAAGCUUUAGUUAUGGCUUUUACUUUGCUGGUUGGCAAAAGAAUGACGGUACUUUGAUUUCUCCUAAUCAGAUUGCAAAUGGGUCACUUAGUCACAAGGGCAACAUAUUUUAAUCUGUUUUUAUUUUUAUCCCCAGUGUGUUCAUGCUCUGAAAAAUAGUGUUUCAUGGUGCCUAGUUUUGGUCUUGUUCAAUGGCGAAUUACAUAUAAGUUCUAUUGUUGGAAAAUUGAUUGGUGAAGCAGACAUGCAACUAAAGUGAAAUUGAGAAAUAAUGAGACAACAGAAUCACACAGGGACACCAGGAUUUAAGUGGUUCGGCUUUUAACCUAGAUUCACGGGUGAAAAUAGAAAAAAAAAUAUUUUACUAGUGAUAUGAGAAUUACAAGUAUUGUAAUAUUUUGGUUCACUAUCCAGAAUCCCAAUAUACCCAAUCGUUCACUCACUAAUCUCUCAAAUCAAGAGUUUAUUAAACUCUUAAUACUCUCAACUCUCUAAAUGUAGGAAAUGCUUCUCUCAAACUGGAUGUUGAAAUGAGGAGGAGCAUCCUCAUUUUAUAGCCAAAAAUUGGCUACUGUUCAUGCCUAUUAUUUUAUUUAUUUAUUAGUAUUUUUUUCCCCUGAGCGGCCCGCCACUUUCUUUUCUUCUUCUUCUUCUUAUUUCUUCUUGUUUUUUUUUCUUUUUCCUUUGCGGUUGAGCACUAUUAGUGCCCACUGCUUACUUUUUGACAUCUAUGUGGGCCCUACAAAAGUUGUUCUUGGAGGAAUUGAAUAAUUGAAUUAUUCAAUCUGACUUAAUCUUCCAGCAGUGUUAUUGCUUGGUAUUUAUCUUUGUGUGCUUGGAUUGUAAAUUUGACAGGAAAAUGGUGAGGAGACCUUGGAGGAAUUGCAGAAUUUGUUUGAAUAGAUGUUUAAAGGAGACACCAAUGCUUUCAGGCCUAAACUUAUUCUGAUUAUUUCAUCAGUACUUAGAUUUGAACUAAGAAGUUUUUUGUGAUGGUAUGUUAGCUUGUAUAAAUUUCCUUUCUUUAAUAAAAUCUCCCUUUGUUUUUAGCGAAAGUUAAUAAGAUCGGAUGGUGGAUUGUACUUCUGUGUGUUAAAUGACAUUUUAAACAACGUGCUUCUGGCUAUGAAAUAACUAACUAAAAAUGAAGACAACUGGACAAGAAAUGAUGUUUUGAAAGUCACCUAGUAGUGUUUGUUCUAAUGGUUUAAUCUUCAAGGUUUUUUUUUUUAUUGCAAAUAUUGAUGCUAGAGACCUCGAACCAUUUUUUAUGAUUUAGAAUGUUGUAACCACUAGAAGCUUCCUUGUCAUAAACUGGUGGCUCAGAUUAUUAAAAUGUUCAUGAGAAAGCUAAUCUGAUUUCCCAUUGUAUAUUAUUAGAUUCCCUUUUGUUGCAAUUGAGCAGGUCUCAAGAUUCUGACCUUUUUCACCCCGCUUUCUGACAGAAGAAUUUGCCUAUCAUUGUCAAGUGUUUGGCAAUCAGCCACCAUCUGCUGUAUUCAUUAUGAAGGCAUUGUAAAUUUGAUCCCUUAAGAAGGGGAGAAACUGAUCAAGCUGAUUGGUUAUACUCAUUGUAUGCCACAAGUGCUUUAUCAAACCACAACAGGCAACACCCGUGCGAAGGGCGCAAGCCAAAAUUGAUAGUUGGACCAGUAUCAUCAAGAUACUCCUUUUCCGGUCCAUCUAUGUCUUACUGAUGGCAUUUUUACUAUUCAUCCUCUGUAUUGUUUGUUUCUUUAGCAAAUUUCUUUCUGUAUUAUGAGUCUUAAUAAAAGUUUAAUUGUAGACAGCUUUUUUGCCUUGAAAGUAUAUUUUAAACCUUUCAAACCAACUAGCUCUAUUGGGAAACUUAUGACUUUAUAGAAAUAUUUGUUGCAUUUUGUCAUUGAUGGUCAGUCCAUAAAAUUAGUUGACUGAUAGUGUCAAGCAGUUAGCAAUACAACUUUCUACCAAUGAUAUAACUCUUUUCAUUCUGUAUUUUGUUCGAGACUUAAUUCGGUUCCAUUAUGUCAUUAUCUGUGCUUGAUUGAGUUGCAUGUUCAUGCACAAGAAUUUCCCAUCGCGGCGUUCCUAAGCUACUUUAUAAGACCUAGAUUUGUCUUUAACUAGGAUAUGGCUUUUUUUGAGUUGAAAAGCCUACUGUGAAAGUUAUCUGCUCAAAGCAAAAAAAAUUUGUUUCCGUGGGAGGGAAAUUAAAUUUUGACGAAGUUUGCUUUGGGAAUUUUGAAGAUAACUUGUAAAUUUGUUAACAUAUUGAGUGAUUCAAGGUUUUCAAUGCAUUUCUUCCAAGGAAUCAGUUUUGUUUGGCUUCUCAAACUGUGCUUCUAAUCCAAUAUCUUAUCUACGGCUGCCAAAAAGCUAUUCACUGUUAUAAUGGAUUGUUAUUGGAAAUAAUCAAAUAAAGCCUAUGAAGAAUUAGAAUAAAAGCUAUAUUUUGUCUUUGUGAAGGGAAUAUUUGACAGCCAAUCCACCGAUAUUUUUUUCAAUCAUUUCGAGACAUACCGGAGAAAUCUAAUUUAAAAAGUUGGUAAAUUUUAAUUCAUUCUCCCGAUAGAACAACAAUCUUGAUUUUAUCACCUAAAAGAGUGAAAAUAUCAAUUUAGCCUUCAUUUUCAUUUAAUGAGGUGAGAGCAGAUUGAGGAUACGGUAAUGAUUUGUUUUUUUUUUUUUGGGGAAAAAUAUAAAAAAGAGAUGCUAGUUCUUUGUAGGGUCGUUUGUAGAGGCAAAGGCUUAGCUCGAAUGAUAAGAACAUUGCCUUCUUAGGGCCAAAGACGUGAAUUUGAGCCUUAUCCUCCUGGAAGUAAAUAGAAGACUUAUCAUUUUAAGUGAGGGGCAAAUUAAAGUUAAUUCUAAAAUGUUAUAUGAAACAACUUUAGCCUUUUACAACUAUUAAUUGUCUGCUACUAUUUUCUUUUUUUAAUUCUAAAGUCUUUAUUACUCUUUCUCAUAUUUGGGCAAAGCUACUUUGCAAGUACCCCUUUUUUGUCUUUUUCUUAAGGUCAAUUAUAAUAGAGUCCUGUAAUUUAUUCUAAAAAUAAAAAAGCUAAAAACUUUUAAAUUUUCACAUAUUAGUCCCACACCUACAAAUUUUCAGUUGCAUUAAUGCUUCUGGAAGCCAGAUUUUCAGGACAAAAACUCAAUUAAAUUUAUUUAAGUGUACAAUUAAAUUUACUCCUUUUAUUUUAGGACAAAAAUUCAACCAAAAAUACAAAACUCAUUGCUCAAACAAACAAAAAUGAUUUUACAAAUUCAUAAACUAACUCUUUAUUGUUAUUAGUAAAUUAAAAUAUUUUUACUACAUAAUUAAAUAAUUAAGUAUGUUAAUUAAAUAUUAUGUUAUAAAAAAAUAACAAAACAUUACCUACAUAGAAUAUCAAAUUAAAUUUAUUUUCAUAUUUUGUGUAUUCCAUCUACUUGACAUAUAAAAUCUCUUGUUUGAGGAAAAAAAAUAUAUAUGGGGUUUGAACCCUACUCACAUGGGUGAAAGAAAAUUGGUUGCCGUGUUAAAUUAAAAAAAAUCAUAUUUAUAUUUAUCAUCAAUUAUGAUUAGUAAAUAAUUUACAUUGAUUAACUAUGUAAUAAUUUAGUUAAUAUAUUAAUUAAUAAGUAAAUUUAUUAAUUUAAAUAGAUAUUAACAAAUGUAAGAAUAAGUCAUUUAAUUGAAAACCUAGUUCAAUAGAGUAAAAAAAAAUAAAAUAUUGUGGACUUAUAUGUCAGAAUUAUAAAACGUUUGAUUUUUCUUAUUUUGCAUGAACAACAAGGGCUUUUAAUGCUAAUGACCCAAUAAUCACAUCUAACCAUUAUUCAACUCUCACGUUAAAUCCAACGGUGGAUUUGAAAAAGACAAAAGAAUGGGGUACCAAACCUCAUGGGUAUAGUAGCUGGACCCAUUAGUAGUUAGCAGAUAUUCUAAAUUUUCUUUUAACAUUUUAUUCUAACAUUUUUUCCCCGAAAACGACAAUUGCAAGAUAAUUUGACCUAUCUUGACUGACUGAAUUUGGAUAACUUGUGUUACGCUCUCUCUCGUAAUUCAUAAAGACGACCACUUUGAUUUGCACUAUCCUUUCUGUGUCAUUGUGCUCACGUUGCAAGGGAUGCGUCACGCCCGCAGUUGUCGAAUUAAAGUUACAUUACAUUUACAUACGUUAAAGACUUGAUAUGAAUAUUCUCUAUCGUCUUUAUUGACCCUUUUUUAUCUUUUAUUUUUCCUUGUGUCGAAAGAAUCCUUCACUGAUUGGAAUACCCAUGAUGACUGGUUGCAAUUGGAAGAGUCCCUGAAAUUCAUCUUUCAUUCGAUCUUAAAUACUUUCUCCGAGCAAUUAGAAUACAUUAAGAUUUUAUGAACUUGCUUGGUAGAUCAUUCAACUGCUUAAUUGGUGCUGUUAAUUAAUUGAUUAUCUUCCCGGAAACACAUUAAAGACUCUCACGGGGAUUCAUUAAACCUUUUCGCUGGGUCAAUUCUAGAAGCAUCAGACAUAAAAGCUUCAUGAUAAGAGCACAAGCCUAUCGUCUUCUAAAGCUCCUUGAAAAAGCUAGCUAUUUUCUUUAUUGUCAUUUCCAUCCAUUUUAACCCUCUCUUUUUCAUUUUGUACAAUUUUGACUUGACUCUGAAAUAGAGAACAAUGAUAUUUAGACAGAAAAAUUUAAUAGAAUGUUUAAAAAUAAAAUAAAAUUAGUCUCGGUUUAUCUUGUACUAGUUUUACCUUAUUGAUGUCAAUGAUUUUCUAAGAGAAAAAGAAACUUCGUUAAUUUUACCUUUGUUUCAUGAUGAGGUAAAAUAUGAUUUUUUUUUUAAUUUUUAAAAGAUUUCUUCAAAUCAUUUUCAAGUUGAUUUAUUUGGUUGGACUGUAAAAUAGGUUUGGGCUUAAUCCAUCUCUAAUUUCUUUCUUUUUUUUAAUUUUUUUCCAGUUUACCAUAAAAUAUUAUGUGUGUUGCAAGUACUUGCAUGUGUGCGUGUGCGUGUGCGUGUGCGUGUGCGUGUGCGUGUGCGCGUGUGCCAAGAGACGAACAAAUAUACAAUGAAUAGAGAUUUCUAGACCUAAAGACUUCAAAUUAAUGGUGAAACGCCUUUGCAAAUUAAACUAAGAAAAAUUGAAAAAGUAUUUUUAUCAUUUUAUGCAUGGAAUUCCACGUCCAUGCAUGCAUGUACCCAACAAAUGCACUUGUAAUUAAGUAUGCAUAUGGUACAUCACAAAAUAUUGUCUUGGAAAAGUCUCAAUGGAUAACUCAUGACAUGUCAUUGUACGUACACGCACAACGAAUAAUCCUUGCGACGACUUGCAUAAAAAAAAGUCUGUUUGACCCUGUAGUUUAAGUACCCAUGGAGGAGUCAAUAUAUUUUUAGAAAUUUACUCAAA